rnacentral:lncRNA from 1 species
GUGUUGAUGCAUCGUAGUCUGCGCGUUGGAAGAGGAGCGAGGAUUGAAGAUUAGUUCUGGUAGGUUUGCAUGUGAAGGAGCUUGCUGUGUUUUGCCAGACAAUGAUGUUUUUUCAAGUCUGCAAUGGAUUAGGGAUUUCUGCUUGUGCACUAGCUGGAGCGUUUGUUUCACGCGGCUCGAUCGAUGAUUUGUCUUGCUGGUUUUCUCGUUUCCGCUUGCUGCGGGAAUGGUUGGUCUAUUUUUGGUUCCUCUUCUGCCGCUUUUGUUGCUAAGAUUGCCGUAGUUGGAGCCAGUUGUCCGUGGCGCCUUGGACGACUGUUUGCUAGUGUGAGCAUUCUUGUGUGCAUUGAAAUUUGGACGUGAGGAAGGACUUCCUCUCUGUAGGAGCUAUUUCUGCUCGACUGAGAUCAUUUUUCUCUGGGAUCGUGUCGCGAAAGUGCUGAAUAGUAGUUGCAUUGAACUUUAGUGUUGAUCGCACGCUGUCAACUACUUCGUCUUCAAAUGUAAAAUCUAGCCUUGUUUUACUUGUUAAGUUUCAGUUUCCAUUAAACUUUACCUUCACUUGACUAUUCGAGGUUCAAUCUUGACUAGCUCUUGAUGUUGAACUUCUUUUCAGCAAACCCGCAAUGGAGGCCAUUCCUCCUGUUCUUCAUUUAUUUACUCCUUUCUUUCAUUUACGAUUAGUAUCUGAGUGAGCUUUCAAGCUUUGGUAGCCAUUAUCUUUUCUCAAGUGGGAUACGUAUCUUUUCGCUCUAAUAUCUCAACAUUAAGAUUCCCCUACAGUCUCCAUUGACUUCUCUUCCGAACUCUUAUUUGUGAAUCCUUAAGAUCGUUCGUAAGUAUUUAAUAUGCGUUAGGUAACAGUGUCGGUCUCGCAUGGCAAGGUAUUCACUGAAGCAGCUUCUGCUUCGUAGUUUCAUUUAGUAUUAUUCAUCUUUUUUCUCCUGUUUACAUUUUCGGCUAGCGUUUCUCCCUCACAGUUCGUAAGCGCUUGAACAUUAUUAUAUGUUGCUUUAUUUUAUUUCAUCUCUUUGUAUCACCCAUUAUGCAGUUCUUUCCCUGUUUGCAACCUGGUCCUGCCGUCCUGAACUUACAAUUAGAAUUGAAUUUGUUAUUCAGGUUGGGCAGGUUCCUCGUGUUUAUCAACUAAUCUAGAUUGUACCAUGGUCUUUUGGUCCCACCACAGACUAUACUUCUCCAAUUGCUGUGUUUGAUGCGCACUUCACAUGUAGUUGGAAAGAACUAGACUGCAUUAGGGAUAUUGCAUUUCCCUCCCCCCCCCUCCUUAAGCUACAGAGGUUGCCUUAUCUUGAAUAAUGUUCCCGUUAGAAAGGAAUAGUAGACCAUGCAGUCUUUAAGCAAUGUGCUGAGCCGUGACAUUUCUUUUAUGUUACAGAUUUUUUGGGGUCUCAUUGGCAUUACGAACUUCGUUGUGACUUCAGUUCUUCAUCAUCUUUCGGAAUCAAACUGCAGGAUCCUGUCAUCGCGGCUAUUCUGGAAUUGCGGGAUUCCUUUUCUGACAAAGGGGACCUUAUCUCAGCAUACUCAGCUGUCAGUAACGUACCUAUGUACUUGAAACGGAAGUUUACUGAUCGUGGAAUAUAUUCCUCGGUGCAGCCGGGAUUGGAGCAAGUUAUCAAGUGGCAUCCGUCUGCAGCCUGUAUUACCAGUUGUCAAUGAAGUCAGUUUUAUGGUAAUGACGCAGUAAAGUCUUGAGAACAGAAGAUAUAUCAAUAGCAUUACUCAUCAGGAGACAAACUUGAUGAUGUGUUAUUUUGCCUAAGCAGAAGCUGGUUAAGAGGUCGACGGGGUUCCAGUAUAGACCUGACUGUUUUUCAUGUAAACAGUCUUCCCCCUCCCACUCUCUUCUCCAACUCCCAAAAUAAAACAUUAAAAGAAAACAUAGUGACUUGUUUGGUAUUGGAGUUCGUAGCAACAUGGUGACUGGGAUGAGAUUUCAGAUGUAUGCCCUAUUGUGGCCGACAUUGAUGUUCUCAUUGGUGACGGGAAUGGCGGUCGGAGUAGUGCCAGAAACAAGCCAGGUUGGGUCAAAGGAUCAACCAACGUUCGUUCGCCAUUUUUGGUCUACUUCCGACAAGCACCAUUACAAGUUGUCUCAGGAUGGCGAGGGGGCUGAACUUGUCUUGGAUCAAAGUUCAGGUAAGUCACUUGAAGAGUAUUGAUUCAUUGAUGCAGUUUGUGUCGCAUCGCUUUCUCAGAUGUCUAGAGCUUUAUAAUAGGUGCUAAACUCAGUGUUGUGGGUUGGCAUAAAACUGAUCUAAAAACAGAAAUUAAUUUUGUCAUUAGUUAACUGUUGCAAUUGGAAGUUUUUGAUCCUGAUUUUAUUUAUUUAUUUAUUUCUUUCCUGAAGCAACCUUAUUGUCGCUGUCUCGUGUCUUUCUCCCAUACAAUAGUGUCAAUCUGCUUAACUGACCAUUGCAGAUUCUGAUCUUCUCUUAAUGUUUUCAGCUGCUGGUUUUGCCUCUAAAACGAGGUACUUGUUUGGGCGCGUAAGCAUUCAAAUGAAGGUUCAUCCAGGUGAUUCAGCAGGCACCGUCAGUACAUUCUAUGUAAGUUCUCUUUCUCCUGAAGGAUUUUUACAUGCAGCUCAUCAUAUCCACUAAAUUUUCUGCGACGCAUAUUCGCAAAUAACUCUAAUCUGAUUGGCCUAUACUUCUCUCCUUGAUACCGUUCAGUUGAAAGAGUUUGGUAACGGUGCUGAGUUGAAAUCUUGCCGUUCGUGUCGAAGAAAAGUCCUCACGCUGACAUGCCUACUUGAUUUGUCUCGACAGACUUCCUCUUUGAGUGGAAAGCAUGACGAGCUUGACUUCGAAUUUCUUGGCAACCAACCUGGGAAACUCUACGUCCUGCAGACUAAUGUGUAUGCCUCAGGAGUCGGUGACCGUGAGCAGCGUAUCCGACUUUGGUUUGACCCCACAGAGGAUUUUCACACGUAUGAGAUCCACUGGAACAAAGAGAUAGUCAUGUAAGUUGACAAGUCGUUGCUUCUUAUCCUUAUGUUCUUUGUUUUACCCUCCCUGUGAUUAAACCUUCCUGGUUGAUUAUAGUCAAGAACAGCAACUCGCUUCUGUGGAAAUCAUAUGGAAAUUACUAUGGCCGUAUGCCUGCCGUUUAUAACAAGUUAUGCGUCAACACAGCUUCAUGGUGGACGACACACCCAUCAGAAUUUAUAGAAACAACGAAGAUCUGGGUGUUCCGUAUCCUUCGCGUCAGGCUAUGAGCGUGUUCGCAAGCUUGUGGAAUGGUGAAGAAUGGGCUACCCAAAAUGGAGCCAUCAAAUUAAACUGGAGCAACGCACCAUUUGUACACAUCUGCACCCUAUUCGUUUGUAUCUUUAGGGUUACUGAAGAUAAUUACGUUGAGCUUGUUUGCACUAGAGCUCUGAUUUAUGUUAAUGGAAAAACUUUGCGAUGCGUCAUGGCUGUAAGUUCGCAGCAUCUUCCCUAACAAUUUGUGGAUCCCACAGGUAGCUGCUUACCGAGGCUAUGAAGUCGAAGGAUGCGAAGUUCCCUGGUACAAAGGGGAUAUUAAGUACUGCCAAUCAUCAGAUACCGAUUCCAUGCUAAGGAGAGCCACCAUCCACAAUUUAACAACUAGGCAGCAAGCACGGUUACAAUGGGUGACAGAGAAUCUCUUAGUGUAUGACUACUGCAAAGAUGUUUACCGAUAUCCAACACCUCAUCCGGAGUGCAGUCGCAAUUCAGGACUUCAAAUUAUUGGUCCCCAGCCUCUUAAGCACCUAGAUGGGUUGAAGGUUCUUGAGAACUAAAUCUUAAAGUUAGGGCGCCUGACUGUAAAACAAAUGUACUUUAUGAGAACCUGAUCUAAGAACUAGGCCUGAUUUAACUGGCAAUUGCCUUAAGAUAAGAGUCGUGUACAAGAAUACUGUAGGUUGGCUAUGAAACUUGGACUCGAGUGAACCUCAGUCGGAAACUGUGAGGCUUAUGAAAAUAUUUGAGGAAAUAUUCUGUAGUUCGUUAAGGCGGGAGACCUGCAUAAGCUCUCUUUCAGCAACUUGAUCAGGGUGUUUCAAGAUUACAGGUAUGAAUUUAAUUUGUCUGUUCGUAUUAGAUACAAGAAAUUGCUUGAAGUCUUCUUUUCGUUUGUGUGCUUUCCGGAAUACAGUCGGAUUACAUCCUGCUUAAUCUAUUUUUUCAUUUUCUUUCGAUUUCAAUUUCAUUUUUUAUUUAUGUUUUGAUUCUAGAACCAGUUUACCUUGACGAAGUUUACCUUGUGAUUCAAACACCAUAAAAUGACCGUUGUUGCGUCCCUUCCAGAUUCGACUGCCUGUGUUUGAUGAACUCACUGUCAGAAGUUUGACAUUAAUGAUUGCUAUCUUGCAGGACUUCGACACUGAUUUUCAGUAACGUUGCAGCUUAAAUAGGAAAGGACUCAAUAACAGAGAACAGAUCUCUGCGUCAAUUUUGCACUAGAUAAUUUCACCUUUUAGAUUAGUCUAGAGAAUUAUCCAAAAAAAUUCAGAUCAUUGUAAAAUGAUUGUCACUACAUUUUUUGGGGGUUAUUAGCGCCCCUCUUGACAUGGAAACUAGCUUCGAUUUCUCACUACUUAUUCUUGUCAUUGAACUCGGAAACACAUUUUACCUCAUAUUAUUUUAUCUCGGAGUGUUCAUAAAACGUUUAGAAGCUUCUUGCUUGUGAUCAUCAGUUUAUUAUUAUGUGAAAUUGAUCUUAAUUGGGGUUUCAGUCCGCCUUGGAAAUCAAAACUUGUCAGGAACUGUUAAGUCUGGUUCAUAAUCCAACUUACAAAUCUAAGAGAAUUUUUGUGUAUGCAUGUACUCAAAAAUGUAUAUUCAUCAGAUAAUAAUUUCAAAUUCUGAUUUGUGUUUCUUCAUUUUAUGUCAUUGCGCACAUUUUUUUGUGGAAUUUAAGUAUAUCUGGUUUGCAUAUACAUACAUACACUAAAUUGGUCUUGGAAAUAUGUUCAAAAUGUGUAAUAGUAAAUAAGAACCUAGAAGAUGGUUGGUUGAAUUUCAAAACAUAAACAGAAAAGUAAAAAACUGUUUAAAAGAAAACAACUAUUUAAAAAUGUUUUCAGUGUCUAAAUCCGUUAUGUUGUCAAAUGUAGUUAUAUCAGAAGGAAUGUUUUUAUAUAGAUGACCAAUUGUUCAAAUCAUGAAGUUUUGAAUUCAAUCCAAGUGAUAUUUGAUCCAUGUCUUGAGUUAAAAUUGUUCACUAAAAUAGGAUUAGAUGAGAAAAAUUAAUACACUCAUAGUAGAUAGAAGAAAUAAAAUAAAAUGGGAGAUAGAAAUCCCAUAAAAAUGUUAGAAACCACGAGUAAAUGAAUUGGAAAGUGGACACAAUUUGGACUACUAUUAUAUGCUAAAUUAAAUAAGGAGUUGAAUUAAUCCAAGUCUUGAUACAUAGCCACUAUAGGAAUCAAAUUGUAACAAGCAGUCAUUAAUUGGAGGAGAUCCACAAAGGUGAUGGACAAUCCCAUAUAAGAUAUGCAACCAAUUUGAGGUAGUCUGACUUAAAUACUACUUUAUUAGAACAACAAAACAAUGGAGCAUAGAGUGAUGACCAAAAAUCUAAGCACAUGGUGCUAAAAAUCUAAAUUGUCUCUAUUUAGAAAAAUGAAUGUGCAGAAUGGCCAUUGAGAAUACAUACAAAUACUACAAACUCAAAAAUAGGUCAAUCUCAACAUUCUAUAUUAGAAAAAUAUUCUAAUUGAAGGCUUAGAGUAACUUUUUACUUUGCUAUCAAUUUCAAAUCCAAAACCAAUUCUCAUUCUAAUACUUCUUCUUUGAAUCUAUCUUUUACAUAUACUUAAUUCAUGUGAGUUUCAUCAAUAGAUCUUAAUUAGCGAAAUUGUUAAAAAUAUAGGUUUUAAUUAUUUAAAUAUAAAAUAUUAAUAUUUGAAAGUUUUUUCAAUGAUUUAAGUAUUUAUUAGAAUUUAGAAAUGUUUAUAGGCUACAAGUCUUAUUAGAAAAAACGUUUUAAAAAUAAAAACUUAGUAAGUCUUGGAAGUAAUUAACUUAGUUAAUUUAGUAUUUUUACUUAUUAUUGAGUAUUAAGAAUUAAUUAUUAAGACCAAUGUUUAUAUUGGCAUUCUACCUACAUUUAUUACUUAUUAAAAACCUAUAAAUAUUAAGUAGUAGUUAGAAGAAGCAUAAGAAAGAAUCUCAUAUUUUUUUAAUUAUUUAUAUUUGAGAUAGGAUUUUUAGUUGAUUUAAAUUUAUUUUAUUUCUAUAAAAAAUUACCAAGAUAGAAAAAUAUGGCUUUAAUUUGAUAUUAACAUUAUAAAAUAUUAUGAUAAUAUAUAAAACUUAUUUAGAAUUUAUUUAGAUUUUUUAAGUAUUUUUUAGAGAAAAUUUCAAGACUUUGAUAAAAUUGAGUUUUUACCACCUUAGGAGCUAUUACAAAGAAAUGGAACAAGAUUUGAAGGCCAUAUAAUGUUCUUAGGCUUAUUGGGUGUUUUUAAACACCAUGGUAAAGUCAAAAUGCAAAAAGUUGAAUUUUAUUAGUAUAAAAUAGGAAGAUUAACAACUAGUCUAGUAGGAAGGGAGGUACACAAGUUCCAUAUGGAUUGUAGUAUUUUGAAAGUAGUUAGGAAGAUAAGACUAAGGCCUCAUAUCAUCACUUAGAAAUCCAAAUACACUACAUGUGAGCCUUGGUGAGGCUCAAAUUUUUUAUCUAUAAGCAAAUUAUCCUUAAGGUAAAAUAUUUUUAUGUAUCUUUUUAUUUAUUUAUUUGCUAUAUUUAAAUCUUCAUAACUUAUUCAUAGUAACUAAAAUCUACAUGUCCUUAUAUCAUUACAAAGCUAAAAAAAUUAUGUUUUUUUAAUUUUUAAUUUUUAAUUUUUUUACUUUUUAUUGCAUAAAAAUUUAGAGAAUAAUUUUUGACCUAGUUUUGGAUUGUAUAAUUACUAGAUUUCAUUUUUUUUCACUUUUUUUGUAUUUUUUCUUCUUUUGUUCUUGUUAUUUGCUUCUUUCACCUUAUACCACCAAUUACAAGCAACUCUUAAUUGAGGCCAUCUUCUGAUUUGGAUUGAGGGGUGGAAUUUAUCUUUACAAUUCUACACCUUUUUUUUUAUUAAAAUUAUUCUUAUUAAAAUUCAUAAAAUUUUAAUAUUGAGGCUUUUGGCCUAUAUAUUAUUUGAAGAAGUUAUAAUUAAUAUCUUUAUUCUUACUUAACAGUACUAACACAUUUAUUUUAAAUUCUAAGUUCAACUUAUUUUUCAUAGUUAGAAUAGGUUUUAUAAGAUUAUCUUUUUAGUAUCCACCUAACUUUCUUGUAUAUGAUGUUGCCAAUAUUAAUAAAAUAUUGACUACUUGCUUCAAAAAUUGAAGACUAAGGAUACAUUGUAUUCUUAAUUUUUUUAUAUAUUAAAUCAAGAUUGGAAGAAAACUUGUCACAAUACCAUCUUAUAUGAUAUUCAAUAAUAUGAAAUUGGUAUAACUUCUUGAAUAUGAUAGUCAUGCCCUCAAUCAAUUCUAUCUUUACUAAAAAACUUUUAUGCACUUCUUAAUAUAAACUCUAAGUCAUUAUUUCAACAUCUUCUUUAGAAGAAAUUGAUUUGUAAGCUUUAUUCAUAGAUGUCAUAUCAAUCUUUUUAAAUAUGUAUUUACAAGAACAUACAUUUCCAAUCAACAUUUGACUUGUUUAUAUAUGUAGAAUAUCACACAUAUAUCAAUGAAAAAAUGUUUCAAUGUAUUUUCAAUGAAGAUCUUUUUGAUCCUUGUCAACAUGAGCCACUGUCAUCCUUCUUCCCUUCAUAGCUCCUUAUUUAGCUUUUGUUGUCCUUCUUCUUUUCUUUUUAUAAUACUCUAUACUAUUUUAAAAUCUUAGGAUGUACCUUCCUUAGGUUGCUUCUCUUGAUGCUUUAGGUGCCAAAAUUUUUAAUCAUUCUUGCUAACUUAGCUAUUUCUUGGCAGCACACCAAAUUCCUCCUGAAAAUUUUAUUAUGUUCUUACAACUAUCCCUCAUUGAAGAAAUUUAAUUUGAUGUUGACUUGUCUCUAUUCCUCAAUUAUCCUGGCAGUAUCAUUGUUUCUUUGCUACAAAGCUUCUACCUUUAUUCACUAUCUAUCGAAAGCCUUUUUAGAUAUAUAUAUAUAUAUAUAUAUAUAUAAUCUCUUAUAACAACCAGAAGCUUAUUUAAAGUUAGGUCCUUCAACAACUCCUCAUUUGUUUUUGACUUCUCUUAAGUGCAAUUUUGUGGAAUUGAGUGAAUUCUUUUUGCUACUCCACCAUCUUUUCUAAUUCUAUGUGUAUUUACUUUAGAAGAUCUUUUCUAAUCAAUAUUUAGUUUGAAGAAGCUUUUCUUUUAAUUUUAGUUAUUUUAGGUAUUUAUUUAAAAUUUAUUUAGAAUUUAAUUAGGAAUUUUUAGAUCAAUUGAUAAGAUGUUGAUAAAAUAAAUAAAUUCACUUUGAAAGGCCAUUGUGAAGAAUUGGAGUAAGAUUUGAAGAUUUUAUUAAUUUAUUAAGCUGAUUGGAUAUUUUAAAAUACCACAAUAAAUUUAAAAAUAAAAAUAUUAAUAGAAAAUAAAAGGACCAAUAGCUACUGUAGUCCUUGUAAAAUGAUAGGUGCAUAUAUUUCAUAUAAAUUAAAGCAACUUAGAUGUAGAUAGGAGAAUAAGAUUAGGACCUUGUGGCCUCUUUAAGAGACCCUUAUAAACUAUUUGUGAACCAUGAUGAAGAUCAAAUCCUCAAACUUUCAAGCAAUUUAUCUUUGAGGUAAAACAUAUGCAAUUAAUUUAUAUCUAUAUAUAUAUAUACAUAUAUAUUAUUUUUAGAUUAUCUUAACUUAUUUAUAUUAACUUGGAUUAUAAUAUUACUUAUAUCAUUAAUAAAAUAAAAAGUAAUUAUCAAAAAUAUAUUAUUUAUUUUUAUUUUUACAAAAUAAAAAUCUAAUGAACAAACUAUGAUUAAUUUUAUAGUAUGUAUUUUCUUGAUUGUAAUUUUUUAUUUCUUUUGAAUUUUUUUGAAUUUUUUUUCUUAUUAUUAUUAUUAUUAUUUUUUACAAUCAAUUAUAAGAAAUUUUUAAUUGAUUCUAUUUUAUAAUUUGGAUUGAUGGAUAAAUUUUACCUUCAUUUAGUCAAUUCAAUUUUCUAAGUCCAAAUAGAAAAGAUAAAAUUAAUGUAUAAAGAAAAAGGUCAUAUUAUUCUAAUCUUUAUAAUUGCAAUACAAUGUUUUCAAAAAAUCUGCAAUAUUGAGGUUGUAUGUCUAAAUACUUGUAAAAUCUUCUUCUUUUAAAUUCAAAAAGUUUUAGAAAGUUAAAAGAAACUCAUAAAGAACACAAAGCUCUAAUUUAGUACCACCUUUUAAUAUAAAUACUUUAUUAAUUUUUAAAUUAUUUUUCUUAUAUUAAUUCUAAAAGCUAAAUUUGAUUCAUUGUGACAAUAAAAUCUAUUAUCUAAUUUAAAUUAAAAAUAUCUUUAAUUAAGAAUUUUUUAUAAUUGAUAAUAUAAAAUGAAAAAAUCAAAAAAAAAAAAAAAAAAAAAAAAAAAGUAAAAGACAUGUAAUAAAAGAAUUACUUACUCCAAAACUUAGUCAUAGUUUGUUUAUAAAGUUUUUAUUUAAUUAAAAAAUAAAAUUCUUAUUUAUUGAUAAAUAGUUUUGUUAUUUUUUUAAUAAUAUAAAAAAUAUAUAAAUCCAAUUUAUUAUGAAUAAAAUAUGAAGGUUUAAAGAUAAAAAGUGAAUUAUUAAAAAAUUAAAUAAAAUUAUUUUACCUCAAAGAUGCAGUGAUUCAAAAAAAAUUUCAAUGUUGACGUAUUUUAGAAAGAAUGGUAUAUUACAAAUGAAUAGUAGUGAAUAAUGAAACGUGAAUUAUAUAGAAAAUAAAAUAUUCUUUUAUACCUAUCAAAUAAAUCUAAGCUGAAAAAAAUCCAUUAGAUAAUUGUGGAGCUAUAACCAAUCCAAUUUGGAACAAUAUUGAAACAUUUUUUUGAUUGUGGUAUCCAAUUACAUAUCAGUACUUUGUAGGACCUCUUUUGGCCUUGAUGACUGAUUCCAACCUCCUAGGCAUACUUUCUAUUAACUUUUGGUACAAAAUUGCUUCAAUAUUAUUUUAUUCUGCAGCUAUUCUUUCCCAUAAUUCUUAAACUUCUAUUGGUUUUAUCUUCCAAGUGUUGAGCUGGCAUUUGAAGUACUCUCAAAGAUAUUCAAUGGAAUUAAGAUCAAGAGACUAAGUAGACAAAUUCUUUAUUUUAAUCCCAUGAUGAUCAAACUACUUCCAUGUUAGUUUUAAAUUAUGCUUGGGAUUGUUAUCUUGCUAAAAAAUCACCUCUUCAAAAAUGCUAGAUUCUUCAAUAUUAGGAAGCACGUUUUUUUAAGAAUUUCCAAAAAUUUCUUGGCAUCCAUCUUCCCUUCAACCUUUGCCAUUGUUCCAAUCCCAUCUUAUUUUAUACAACUCCAUACCAUUAUAUUUCCACCUCCAUGCUUAACUAUUUUUUGGAUCUUUUUGUUAAGUAAGGAUUAACUAUUUUGUUUCCACUCCCACUUUCUGCCAUCUGAUCCAAAUUUGUUGAUUUUUGUUUCAUUUUAUCAAAUAAUCUUCUUCCAAUCCUCUAUAAUCCAUUCCUUAUACUUUAGAGUAAAAUCCAAGUGUUGUUUCUAAUGACAAGUAGAUAAUAGUGAUUUUUUUCCUUAACCAUGACUUUUAUAUUCCAUUUCUUGAGAACAUUUCAAAUAGUUUGGAUUGACAUAAGAUUACUAAUAAUAUUAUUAAGAUUUUUAGCAACCUCAAUAGCAUUUUCAGCCUUUCCACUCUUGAUUUGGCAAAUGAUUACUCUUUCAUAUACUACAAUGAGUUUCUUUGGUUUGCCUAAUUUAAGGUUCUUCCUAUUAAAAGUGAUCUUUUUUACUAGACUAGAGAUAGUAAUUUUAUUAUAGCUAAGUUUAGAAGUAAUUUGGCCAUAAGUUUUUUAAGAAUGAAGAAGAGUAGAGAUAGUGUUAUCUUGGAGAGAGCAGAGAAUGGAUCUCAUAGUUUUUCAAAGAAUUGUCAAGGAUACAAAAAUUUGACAAAGAAAUAUGUCAAGAUUAAAAACAAAGAAUGAGAUUGAUAACAAAAGUGAUUCCAAAGACUCCUACUCAUACUAUAAUGAAGGUUACAGAAGUCUAUGGUAUCUUCUACAAAAGUUUCUAGAAGUCUAAAGAAGCUUCUAAAAGCCUAUGGAAUUUUCUAAAAGAUUGUGAAAGAUUCUACAAGUAUCUAAAAGAUUUUAAAAAUUUAUAGAAGAUUCUAGAAGGUUCUAGAAUGUGAUAAUUUAGAAUAAGUCCAUGCCAAGAAUUGUGAUUACGAAUAAUAAUUUUAUAGUUACUAAUAAGUAUUAAUGAUUUUAUUAAAUUAAUAAUAAUAUUUUCAUAGUAAAUGUGAUGAUGAUAGAAUGCUAUAAUAUUGAGUAAUUGAUAGAAUUCAAAAAUUAGACACCACAUUCAAAAAAUUAUUUCAAUACUAUUUCAAAUUAAAUUGGUUAUAGCUUCACAAUUAAGUAAUGGAUUUUUUUCAACUUAGAUUUAUUUGAUAGCUAUAAAAGAGUACUUUAUUUGUUAUACAAACUACAUGUCAUUAUUCACUAAAAUUCAUGUGUAAUAUACCAUUAUUUCUAAAAUAUGUUAAUAUUAAAAUGGUUUUUUUGAAUCACUAUAACUUGCUUUUAAAUCAAGGACUUGAGCUUCAUUAAGGCUUAUAUGUAAUAUAUGAAGAGCUUUUAGAGAAGCCACAAGGACUAAUAAGCAAGAUUACUAAGAGAAAAUCAAAAAAUAAACACAAUGAAAGAUAAGUUUCAAUAGCAAUAAUAAAUACAUGUAGAUCUUUUACAAAUAAAGAUACAAUAAAAUCAAAAGAAGCCAUAAAAGUAGUGGUAGAUGUAAUAAAAUUAGUAGCUAAAGCAACUUUGAAGCUCAAAUAGUAACAACAAUAAUCAAGAUCGAAGUAACAAAUAAGAUGGAAAACAAAGAUGCAAUAUUAUCAGAGCCUAUUCAAUACAUUGAUCCAACAAAGAUUUUUUUAAGAUUCUAAAAUUUGUUGGAAUCAUUUACUUUUAAAAUCUACAAAAAAAAAAUUGAUCAAAAGCUGUCUUUGGCAAGAAAUGUACCUUGAAUUAAUUAGCAUAACCAAUUACAAUUAUUUUGGUCAAUUAACUAAAAACUACACAAUUGAAUAAGUAAUGCUGAUAUGAAAGAAUCUUAGAAACUUUUGGUGUUCUAAGCUCACAACUUAUUUCUAAAUACUAAUGAUUUAACUUUACUUUCUUUAUAUUCAAGCCAUCUUCUUGUUAUUAUUUCUAAUCUACUCAAGAUAGAGCUUUUUCUAUAACAUCAAUUGCAUCAUCUAACUUCAAUGGAUCUAGUUCUAGAAUCACUUUUAAGUCUAGCAUUAACAUUUCUAAGGACUCUUGUUUUGAGUUUCAAUUGAUUAACAACUUCAAUUCAAUCUCCACCAAUAGCCACAAGUUUAUUAGCUUGUUAUAGAUACAUGAUAUAAAUUUUGUGCCAUUGUAUUACUUUAAAACAACUUAAUACUUUAGCAUUGCCUAUAUAACAAAAAAAAUCAUAAUUCCACUAUUACACCACUAUAAAGAUAAAUAUAAAAGAAGCAAUGCUCAAAAUAAAAUUGGAGUAUAAGAGGCCUUAGAUAAUCUAUUGCUUGAGCAACAAAAUUAUAAUAAAAAACUAAGAUGAUCUACUUGUUCUAAUAGGAACAUUUUGCAAAAGAAAACCGCAUAAGGAAAGAAUUGGCUAUCAACCAACUUAAUGGUGCUAUAAUUCUAAUAUUAAUAACCAAUGUAAACACACCUCAAUUUAUAAUGCUAUAGAAUUGAAAAGCAAAAAAUAAGAUUAUAGCAAAAUUGAUUCUUUCAAAUAAAAACAAAUUAUAAUAAAAAAGAUAAUAAUUUAUAUUAUUGUAGCUUAAUAAAAUGACUAGAAAAUGAUAAGUAAAAGUAUUGGCACUAUUCAUUCAUCAUUCAUCUAUUUAAGAUUAAAAUUUAUCAAUAGUGCUGUUAUUUAUCUAAUAUUUAGAAUUUCAUCAAACUAUUAGGAUGUCAUUUUUCUUGAAUAAACAAACACAUUUAAUUUUUAUAUUAUUUAAUUCAUAUUUAUUUUAAGUAGAUAUAUCAUUUAUUUCAAAUUAAUAGAAUGUGUAAAAUACUUGAAAGAGUAUAUAUUGAAUAUUAAUGUGGUAUUAGAGCUAAGCUUCUAAGAAAAUAGUAUAUAAUUCUUUCUUUCUUGAAUAAGUAUAAUCAUUCAAAGUGAAUAGAUUUUUUUUUUUUUUUUUUUUUUUUUUUUUUCAAGUAUUGUCUUUGUGUACACUAUGUAUAAUAUAAAAUUAUAGAACCAUUUAUAAGAGACAUUAUUAAUUUUAUAAAGUCAAAAGAAGCAUUUAACUACAUCCUAUGGAACUAUAGAAUUUAAAUAAAGUUAAUGUGAGAAAAUUUAUAGAGGUUGAUUGAAAUAUCUACAUCUAUUCUUAUUAAUACUAAAGAGUCCAUAAGUUUAUCCGCUGACAUAGCUGCACUUCAAACUCUACCACAAUAGGACAAAAUUAAACCAACAUAAAUAAAAUAGUCUUUAUUCUUAAAGAUUAUAUUAGAACUUAUUGUAUCAUUAUCUCUAUAAUCCAAGAAUCCAUUAUUCUUCAUAUUAUUGUAUCACAGAUAUACAUAUUUUUUCCAAUAAUUAUCUACAUAAUUAAGUAGAAGUGAAUAAAAAUAAAUUAAUUUCAUAAUAUCUUUUAGAAAAACUUCUUAAAAGCUUUAUAGAUGAAAUUUUGACUCUACACAUAUUUUUAGUUGAUUGGUAGAUUAAAAACUUGGUCGAUAAAUUAACCACAUGUCACAUAUUCUUGGAAUAGAGAGAAUUUGCCUUAAGAAAGCAUUGGGCUUCUAGCUAUCAAUAAUUGCUGAAUCAAGUCUUAAGAUAAAAAAUAUCAAGUUUAUAUAUAAAAUUAUUCCUAUAGGGGCAAUUAAAUCAAUAUAUAAGUCCUAAGUAUCAAAUUUUACCAAAAAUGUGAUAAAAAUACUAUAAAGCCUUAUAUAUUCUUAAGGUGAAUUUUUCUUGAACUUCAAUAAUUCAUAUUUCACAAUUGGACUAUCCAAACAAACCAAAAUUUUACAUAAAGUAUUCUUGUGCUUUUAAUAACUACCAUAACAUAUUUUAAUUAUAAAUUCAUUACAAAUCUUGAAAUAUUAUCAAAAUCCUAAUAGUAGCUUUAAAUCCUUGCUUACAUUCAUCUAUAUGUAAUUUUCUUCAUAUUAUACAAAUUAAGUAUUCAAAUACCAUAAAAUUUUAAUAUAUAGCUUUUUAACUUAAUAAUACACAAUUUUUUAAAUUUUGAGCUAAAAAUUCAUUUGGAAAUCCAAGAUAUGGUUCCAACCAUUAAUAUCAAGGAAAAGAUUCAUUUACUGCCUUCAAAUUACAUAUACUGACUUCAACGCUCUAUAAAUCCUUCAUAUAAACUUCAAAUGUAAAAAUUAUUUUAAUAAAGAUGUAGAUCUUAAAAUCACCCUUGUAAUUAUACUUCUUGAUUUUCAAAAUCUAUUUUAAAACUCCUUGUAUCAUCAAAAGAAAAAAAAAUAUCUAAAAUAGACACGUUAACUUCAAACGGCUAUAACUUCAUCAUUCUAAUUCCAAAUCCUCUAAAAUUUGCACAAAAAUUGUAGUCCAAUCCUAAAUUUUAUAGUCCUUACUUCUAAUUCUUAGAUACCUCUUUUAAAGUUACUAAAAUCCUUGUACAACCUACCGAAUGCCUAUAAGGCAUGGCCUUUGACUAAUAGGAAUGAAGAUCUUUAUCUUUUGUCUUCAUCCAUCCAUACCUUGCUUUCAUCCUUCCAAAUAAAUUUCUUAGAGGUUUGAAACUUCAUCUUUGAGUCCCAAUAUUCUCUUUAAAUUUUAUACUAAAUAUCUAAAUUUUACAUAAUUUAUAAACUAUAAUUAAUAUAGAUAAAUCUCAAAAUAUAUUUUCUUACAUCAAAUUUCUUUAAAUUAACCUACUAAUCACUUUAAUAUACAUCAAUACUUAUAAAUAUAUUAUAUAUUUUAAUUAAUUUUUAUAUAUUAUAAAUAAUUAUAAUAUGAUAACAUAUUAGUAGCUUAUGGAAUAAACUAACUAUAUGGCACAUAUAUUAAAAAAUUCCUUUACAAGUUAAGAUGAAUGUCUUACAAAAUAAACACAUGUUAGAGGUCUUAUAAAACAUUUUCACAUAGCUUCUACUUAGAUAGUAUGUAUGAAGGCAAAAUAAAGCCUUUUUCACUCUUAUCAAUGUUUUUUUAGUCCUUGGUCUUGUUUGAAGACUUUUUAGUAUUCUUGUCUUUGACAAUAAUCAUUCUAAUUCAAUAUAUUAUCAUCUUUGAGUGAUUUUUUAAUCUUUAUGAAUGACAAAAGAAUGACUUGAGCUUUCAAUUCUUCGAGAUUCAUAUCUUUGAUAGUUUAAUAAAAAUGCUAACUUAUUAUAGUUGUCUUAUUUUACAAGUGAGUGAAUUAUCUCACUUCUAUUAUUAUAUUUUAAAGAUUGUGAAUUAUUCAAUUUUUAAAAAAUAAUUUAAUUUUUUAAUACUAAUUUUUUUUAAAAAAAAUAGAUUAUCUCUUUUUAUAAAAAAAUUUAUUUGAUAUUAGAGGUUAUGGAUUACCUUCCUUUAAUUUAUCUUUUCUAUUUUUUUUGAAUUAUCUAUAGAAAAAAAGAUUAUAGAUGCUAUUCUUAAUAGAAGUGAGAAUAAAUUUGUAACUAUUAUAGAUCUUUAUAAGCUUAUCAAUACUCAAAGUGUAAAAAUCUUAUAUAUUUCUAAUAUGAAUCAUAAAGGUACUAUUCCUAUGCUUAUGAAAAAUAGUCAACAAUGAAAUUCAAAGUCUAAGUCAAGAAGUUAUAUAAUUAAGAGAAGCAAGUAGAUGAAGUUCACAACUAAAUCCAAAAAUUCUUGCUUCUACAAGUAUAAAAGAGCUAAGAAUAAGUAUGACCGAGAAAUUUUAUGGAACAAAAUCAAAUUUUUGAGGGUUUCUACAAUAUGUAAAGUUCUAUCUAAGAUUGCAUUCUUUUCAAUACUCUGAUAGAUUUAUUCAAGUUAGAUUUUUUGGAGUACUUCUUUCUAAGAAAGCUCUUUCUUGGUUUGCACCUUUAAUGAAAAAGAAUUAUAACUACUUUAAGAUUUGAAUUUAUUUUUAAAAGCAUUUAUAGCUAUAUUUGGAAAAAAGAUCAAGAAAAGAUAGCAAAGACUAAGUUUAUAUUUCUACUCCAAAGAUCACCUUUAACUAUCAUAUAUACUACUAAAUUUCAAAAUCUUACUUGUGAUGUGGAUUAGAAUAAUAAAGCCUUUAUUAAUCUAUUUAAAUAUAGAUUAAAAGAUAAUAUCAAAGAUUUAUUAUUGACAAUAUUAAGAGUAUAUUAAUUAGAGCAAUCCACCCUUUAAGCCAUAGCAUGUAAAAAUUGAUUUUUUGAAAGAUACCAAGAACGAAGAUUUGGUUGAAAAAAGUAUAAGUCAAGCCAUAGUAAUACCUUCUAAAUUUUUAGAAGCUUAUUCACUUAGGCCAAAAUCUAUACAAAUUGAGACAAUACAUUUUAAAUCUUUUAUUAAUUAAGAAAAGAUUCAUUGUUGUCAAGAGGAUUUAUGCCUAUAUUAUGGAGAAACUAAUCAUACUAUUCAAUAUUAUCCAAAGAAGCAACACAAUCACAAAAUAAGAAGUAUGAUUGCCAAAGAAGAUAAUGUAUCAAAAAAUGAAUUUUUCUAGCUAAAAUAGGAAUUGUGCGGCUGAAAUCAUGUGCAACACUUACUAAAGGUCUUAUUCUCUUUUCAAAUCCUUCACCUUGUUUUACAAUAGAUGUGUGUUUAAGACUUAAAAAUCUCAAAGUCUUUGCAUUAUUAGAUUCAAGAGCCUGAGCUUAUUUGAAACGCAAAGAUUUUGUCAAAAAUUAAGAAAUAUCAUUAGUCAAGAAAACUAAAUCCAUGUAUAUAAAAUUCAUAGAUAAUUAUUUUCUAUCUUUUGGAGAUAUUAUUCAUGAAGCUAUUCCUUGAAAUUCCGCAUUUUAAGAUCAUAAUAACAUUGUAAUAUUUAAUAUCAUAAGUUUUUCCUCCAAUCCAAUUAUUUUAGGAUUAUUAUAAUUAAAAAAAUAUAAUCCUCAGAUAGAUUAGAUUUCUUAUAACUUUAAUUUUUCUUGUAGUUUGAUCUAAAUUUUUUUAAUCAAAUAGAAAUACAUAAGUCUUAUACAUCCAAAUCCUUAUUGAUAGGUGCAAGUACUUUUAUGCAUGUGAAAAAAGAAGGAUCUUUUGCUAUAUAUGCCAUACUUAUUUUUUAUAGUGAAAAGAUGUCAAGUGAUAAUUUUAACUAGUGUUAAGAUUUCUAAGAUAUUUUUUAAAUAAAAAUAUAUAUAUAUAUUCUUUUAAAGUAUUAUUCCUAUGAUUAUUUAAUUAAUUUUUAAGAAAUUUCUCAAUCACCAUUUGGAUCAAUCUAUAGCUUAUUGUAAAAUGAAUUGGCUAUAUGAAAGAAAUACAUUGAUGAAAAUUUGGUUGAAAACUUCAUAUGCCAUUCAAAAUCUUCAAUAGCAGCUCCUAUUUUAUUUGUAAAGAAAAAUGAUGGAUCUUUACAGAUGUGCAUAGACUAUCAAAGACUUAAUAAAAUCAUCAUAUAUAAUAGAUAUCUCCUACCUCUGAUUUCAUGAACUUUUGACUAAUUCAAUCAAAAAAAGAUCUAAGCAAAAAUAGAUCUACAAGGAGCAUAUAACCUCAUCCACAUCAAAGAAGGAGAUGAAUAAAAGAUUUCUUUUUGAACUAUGUAUGGACAUUAUAAAUAUAAUGUCAUGCCUUUUGGACUCACAAAUGUACCAGUUGCUUUUUGACAUCUUAUGAAUGACAUUUUUUGUGAAUUUCUUGAUAAUUUUUUUGUCUAUCAUUUAAAAAAUACUCUAAUCUAUUUUAAGAAUAUAAAAAAAUAUGAAAUUCAUAUUUGUCAUGUAUUACAAAAAUUAAAAGAUGUAGGAUUAUAUGCCAAAAUAAAAAUAAAAAAAUAUAAUUUAUACUAUUUAAGUUGAUUUUUUAAGAUAUAUAAUUUCUAAUAAAGAUCUAAUAAUAGAUAUAAAGAAGGUCUAGACUAUAAUAGAUUGAAAGAUUCUAAAAACAAUAAGAGAUGUAUAAUAUUUUUUAGGCUUUGUCAAUUACUACUACAUCUUCAUUAAGAACAUUUUUCAAGUUGUAGCUCCACUUAUUUGUUUGAUUUCUAAAAAAAAGAAUUAAAUAGAAUAAAGAAGUCAAAGCAUCAAAUGAUGCUUUGAAAAAAGAAUUUACUUUUGUACCAAUCUUAUAUUGUAUCAACUUUUUUAAGAAAUUUUUUAUAGAAAUAGAUGCAUUAAAUUUUACCUUGGAUAAUUUUUUUUUUUAGAAAUAGCAUCAUUAUCUAGAAGGCACUUCUAUUCCAAUCAUCUUGUAUAAAGAUUAUAAAAAACUCAAGUAUUUCACAUCAAUAUGGAUAUUGAAUUCUUGCCAAGCUUGUUGGAGCAUGUUAUUAUCAAGAUUUGAUUUUAAGAUCACAUAUCAAUUUUAAAAACAAUAAGGUUUGUUAGGUGUAUUUUUUAGAUAUUCUUAUUUUGUAUUAAAAGAAAAAAAUAUAACUUUUGAUCAACAAAGGAUGGUUGUUGUGAAGCUUGAGCAAUUUAUCUUUAAACAAUAAAAUCAUCAUUGAUUAUUGCAUUAACUUUUAUUAAGCAAAUUCAAUCAAAUAUGUCUUUUGAUCUUCUUGUUCAUAAUAUAAAGAAUACUUCUUCGAAAUCUCAUGAUACUUCCAAGUUCAAAUUCAAGAGCAACCUACUUUAUUUCAAAGGUAACUUAUAUAUUCUAAAAAUAAAAAUACAUUUAUAUGUUUUUUAAUUAUGUCAAAAAAUUUUAAUAACAAAUUUUUUGGAUACAAUAAGACUUUAAAACUUAUAUCUAGAGAUUUUUGGUGGCUGCAAAUAUGAAAAGUUAUGAAAGACUUUCUACAAUCAUGUGACAUUUUUUUAAGAUCAAAAACUCAUCAUCAUCAACACUAUGAACUUUUUCAACCAUUACAUAUAUUGAAACAAUUAUAGUCUUCUAUUUCUAUGGAUUUUCUUACAAAUAUUUUAAAUUCAUAUUCAUAAGACUUUAUAUUUGUCAUUGUAGAUUGCUUCACAAAAAUAAUAUAUUUUAUAUUAUAUAUAUAAUCUAUUAUAGGAUGAGAAACUACUAAGCUUUUCUUUGAUAAUAUCUAUUGCUAUAAUAGAUUGUCAAAAGAUAUUAUAUUAGAUAGAGGGAUACAAUUUAUAUCAAGAUUUUGAAGAAUCUUUGUUAAGAUAUUGAAGGUAGAUAUAAAAUUAUCUUUGAUCUUUCAUUCUCAAACUAUUGGAUAAACAGAAUUGAUGAAUUAAAUUCAAGAGCAAUAUUUGAGGUGUACCAUCAAUUAUUAUUAAAAUAAUUAGACAAUUUUUUUGCCAUCGGUAGAGUUUAUGUACAAUAAUUUGGUAAAUUCUUCUAUACAAUAAAUACAUGUCUUUGCCAAUUAUGGCAUUAUGAAUAUGAAUCUAUAAAAAAAAAAAAAAAAAAAAAAACUCAAUAUAUUUUUUAAUCAUUUAUAAAGACUAAAAAAUCACUCUAAGAUGGUAAUAUAUUGAAUUAGAAUGACUAUUACUUAAGACAAGAAGACUAAAAAGUCUUAAAACAAGACUAAAAGCUAAAAAAUCAUUCAUAAGAGUGAAGUUGGCUUCACUCUUACUUCCAUAUAUACUCUUGAAUUAAGAGCUAUAAGGCUAUAUUCUAUAAAACUUCUAUCACAUGUUGACUUUGCUAGACAUAUGACUUAACUUGUAAAAUAUGUUAUCUUUAUAUAUCCCAUAAAGUUAGCUUAUGGUCCUCUUAACCAUUAAUAGUAUCCCAUACUAAGAUGAAAAGACUAUCCUAUUAUUUGAUUGUUCUUAAAGCCUUGAUAACUCUUUUCAAAUAAAACAUUUGGAAGACCAUUAAGAAUUACUUCUACCUCUAAUAAAAUCACCAAACAUUAAAAAUUUCUUCCAAGGUCAUAAUAUCAAACACGUUGUCGUGGUAGAGAAAGUUUGCUUCAAGAAAGCGCUUGGCUUCUAGCUGCCACUAAAUACUCAAUCAAGUCUAAGAUAUAAAAAAUCAAGUUUAUACAUAUAAUAUUUUUUUUUUAAGGCAAUUACAUCAAAAUAUUAGUCCACGUACCAAGAAAAUAUCCAAAUGUAUGAUAAGUAUCUUAAAAUCUUAUAUAUCCUUAUGAGAGAUGUUUUUCAAACUUCAACAGUUCAUAUCUCACGAUCGGACUAUCCAAACAAUCCUAAAUUUUACAUAAAGUACUAAUAUGCUUUUGAAAACUACUAAAAAAACAUUCAACUUCAAAUUCAUUAUGGAUCUUGAGAUAUCAUCAAAACCCUAACAGUAGCUUUAAAUCCUAGCUUACAUACAUCUACGUGCUAAUUUCUUCAUAUCUCACAAAAUAAGUACUCAAAUACCAUGAAACUUUGAUCUAUAGCUUUUUAAAUUAAUAACUCACACUUAUAGAAAUUUUGAGCCAAAAAUUCAUCCAAAAAUUUAAGAUAUGGCUCCAACCAUUACUAUCAACAAAAUGACUCACUUACUGCCUUUGAAUUACAUGUGUUGUCUUCAAUGCCCUAUAAAUCCUUUAUUUAGACUUAGAAUUUGUCAAACAAUAUAUGUAAAGUAUAGCCAAGAAAGUGUUUUCUCCAACUUCAGCCGCCGAUCUUUCAUUGCUCUCCGUACGCAUAUGUUAUGCUUCAAAGAAUGACAGUAGAUACAAAUUUGAGACCUUAACUUUGAAUACCUAUAUCUCCUUCAAAAAAACUCGAAAUCACACAAACUCUUCAUCCAAAUUAUAUCCAAAACCCUGAACUUGCUGAUCCUAGCCUCCAAAGUUCGAAUGAAUUCGAAAGAGAAACCCUAAUCCCUAAUAAGGCCUUGGGCAGCCUCCUUGAAGCCCAUUGGACAUGGCCUUCGACCAAUAGCAUUGAAGUUUCUCAUUCUUUGCCUUCAUCCAACCAUACCUUACUUUCAUCCCUUCCAAUAAGCCUCCUAUUAGUUAAGAUUUUCUUCUUUAGGCCCCAACCUUCUCUUAAGCUAUAUACUAAAUAUCUAAAUCUUACAUAAUAUAAAUACUAUAAUCAAAAUAGAUAAAUCUCUAAAUAAAUUUCCUUAUAUAUGAAUUCUCUUUAAAUUUAUUUACUAACCACUCUAAUCUACAUCAAGGCUUACAAACAUAUUAUAUGUUUUAAUUAAUUUUUACAUACUAUAGGUAAUUACACUAUGACAACAUUGUACCUUGCUAUCUAUUUAAGGAAUAACAUGUUAUUCUUAAGGAUCUUCAUCUCAAUUACAUUAUUUUGAAGGUUGUAAAAAUUAUAAUAUUAUGUUUGAUAAUUCAACAAAUAAUAGUUUUUGAAUUGAAUUUACUGAUUGUUGGUUUUUUUUAUCUUUUUAUUACUUUAAAUACACAAAAGCUACAAACAAGGAUCGAUGAUAAAAUGCUAUCUUCUUUGUAUCUUAUUUCUUUUAUAAUAAAGAUUUGAUAUUUUUUAUCUUGAUUUUGAUGGAUAUCAUUGAUGAAAAGCAUCAAUCUUCCUUAUUAUAUUUAUAAGAUUCUUUUUUAAUUCCCAUAUAUGCAUUAAUAUCAUAUCUUUACUAAUAAAUAAGAUAUUUUAAUCUAUUUUGAUAUUUCUUUGAAUCUAAGACUUCUUCUAUUUCAAAUUCUUGGUUAUUAUCCACUUCUAUAAGAAGAGGUGAUAUUUUUCUUUUUUUUAAGAUAUUCAUUGUCUUAUAAGGCUCAAAAAGAGAUAUGUAAAAUGUAUAAUAGAUCUUUAUAGACUCCAAUAGAUUUAAUGAAUAAGCAAUAAGAUUGAUUUAUUCACACAUAGGAAAAGUUUCAAGCCUACAAUAGUUCAACUUAUCACAAUGACAAGCAAACUUGAUAUUAUGAUGAAGCAAUCAUAUAUUAUCAUUUAUAUAGAAUUAUGAUUGUUCCUUAUAAUAAACAUUUGUAUUGAUCUUUUGUUGUUUUUAAACUUCCUUUAAUUGGGCCUUUAUUGUUUUAUAUAACUUUGACAAAUGAUUUGCCAAAUCUUUAGCUAUAAAAUUAUCAAAUUUUGAAAAAUCAAAAGUAUUAAGUAGUAGAUAAUAACCAUAAUUGGUAAAAAAAAUAUUUGUUGAAUAGUAGAAUAUACCAAAUUAUAGUAUACAAACUCUGUCAAUAGCAAAAAAAUUAUCUAAUCAUCUUAAUGAUAGUUGAUGGAAUAUUUUAAAUAUUGCUUUAAAAUUAAAUUCAUCUAUUUUGUUUGCUUAUCAAUUUGAAGAUGAAAAGCCAAAGAGAGCUUUAUAUCCAUAUUUAAAUUUUAAAAAGAAUUUUCUAAAAUCUUGAUACAAACUGAAUCCCUCUAUCUAAUAUAAUAUCUUUGAAUAAUCCAUAAUAGUGAUAUACGUUAUCAAAAAAAACUUAGACAUUUAUUUACCUCUAAUAGAUUUUAUACAUAGUAAAAAAUAUGUCAUCUUGAUAAAAUGAUCUACUAUCAUAAAUAUAAAAUCAUACAAACUUGAGAUUAAAAGAUCCAUGAUAAAAUCUAUAGAAACAAAUGACCAUGGUUUUUUUAAAAUAGGUAAUGGCUGAAAAAGUCCAUAAGGUUGGUGACAAGGAGUUUUUGAUCUUGAACAAAUGUUAUAUGAUUAUAAAAAUUCUUUGAUUGCCUUCUAUAAUUGAGGCCACUAAAAAUCUCUUGAUAUUAGCUCUAAAAUCUAAUUAUAUCCAAAAUAUUUGAUUAUUGAAAAGUCAUGACAAACUUGAAGAUAUAUAAUUGUGCUUUGCCUUUUGAAAUAUAUAAUUUUUAUUUAAAAUAUAAUAGAUUAUUCUUGAACUCAAACUUAGAAGUAUGAUGAAACUUUAAAAAAUUAUUCUUAAUAUUAUAAAUAAGAAGAUAUAAGGACAUACUUGAUUGAAUUUUCUUGAUAAAGAUUGAAUCAAUAAUCAAUGUUGAUUCUAUUGCUAAAAGAUGAAAAUAAUCUAGCUUCAAAAGAAUCAUUCUUUAUUAGUCAAAAGCUACAUUUUUUUCUUUUGAUAUAAGAUAAAAAUAUCUAAAAAGAAUUUUUGACAAAUCUCAUUAUUUUUUAAAUUGAUAAGUAAUCUUGAAAUCAAAUCUUAAUAAAGACAUACUCCAACGGACUUAGCAAUGAUUCAAAACAUGUGUUGAUAUAAAAUAUUCAAGGUUCUUAUAAUCCAUAUACAUAAUAUUAUAUAGUAUGAUUUUUUAUCUGAAAAUAUAUUGAAUACUUAGCUCUAGUGAGUUUAAUUUUAAUUAAUUGGCCAAGCUUUAAUAAAUGAUUUAUUUUUAUUAUAAAAGAUAAAUAAAUAAAAAAAUAUAGAAAGAUAAUUUAAUAAUAAAAAUAUUUUAUAUUUAAAAAGAUCUAUAUAUAAGGAUUUCUAAAGCCUCUAAAAAUGCCCUAACAUCCUUGUUAUACCAAAUCAUAACUUACUAUUUGCUGGUAAAUUAGAUUUCUCAUAAGCUCAAAAAAAAUCCAUAAUCUCCUUAUAAAAAUCCAUCUUUAUAUCAUAAUUUUUUCAUAGCUCCAUAUCUCCAUCUUUAACAUGUAUAUAAAUUUUUAAUUUCCAAAUAUCCUAUUAUUUAGCAUAAAAUAUCCAAAGUAUAUCAAAAUCCUUUUAAAAUAUUUUUCUUCUACAAAGGAUUUUUUUUUAAAAAAAAUUAGAAUAUUAUAUCUCUUGAUUCAAUUAUUUAAUUUUUUUAAAAUUUCUAAAUAAUGUUGCAAGUAUUUUUGCAAUAUUUGUAAAAAAAAAGCGGAUGUCAGGUUUUUUUAGCAGACUGAGCCUAGUACCGUUUAGAGCACUAAUAUCUAAUAAAAGUAGCUUUAAAUAUAAAAUUAUUAUCAAUAUAAAAUUAAUCUCAAUAAUAGUCCUUUUAAACUAACUAUUUUAAAGUAAUAAUAUAAUUAUAUUUUAUAAUCAACAAAAAUUUAAUAACAUGAUUCUCACUAUAUUAUAUAAUAAAUUAUAUAUUAAAUAUAUAUGUAUAUUAUUUUUACAUAAUAGCCAAAUCUUAGUACAACAAUGGUGAUUAGAUUUGAAGCAUCUUUUCGAAAAUGAUGUCGUUCUUAAAAUGAAUCCACAAUUAUAAUAAGGUCUUUUUCAUGGAUUUCAUAAUUAAUUUCAAUUGCUAAAAAUUUACUAAAAUAAAAUUUAUAAAAUGGAACUUAUCAUCUGCUUCUAUUUCUGAUAAAAUGGCACCUAUAGCAAAGUCUUAUGUAAUUGUUUCCAUAAAGAAUGCCUAAAAAAGUCAAUGCAAUAUAAAAUUGGUAUAGAAAUAAAUGAUAUCUUCAAAGCCUCAAAAGAUGCUUUAGCUUCUUUGUUCUAUUAAAGUUUAUCUUUACAUGUCAAACAUGUAAACAAAGCUACAAUUUAAGAAAUUUUUUUGAUGAAGAUCUUGUGAUAAUUUACAAAUCUCAAAAAAAAUUAUACAUUUCUUUUUGUUAUUGAAAUCUUCUAAUCUAUGCUAGUCUAGACAUUCUUUGGAACUAUCAUUUGAACUUUAUUAGAAAUAAUGUAUCCUAAGAAGUCAACUUAAGUAGUAUAGAAUACAUAAUUUUUCAUCUUGGCAUAUAAUCAUGUAUCUCUUAGUUUUUAUAAUAUACUAUAAAUAUAAAGUUUAUAUUCUUCUAUAUUCUUAGAAUAAAUUAGAAUAUUUUUUAAAUAAUAGACAAUAAAAUCAUCAAGAAAUUCACAAAAAAUAUCAUUCAUAAAAUAUCAAAAAGUAAUUGGUAUAUUUGUGAGUCUAAAAGACAUGACAUUACAUUUAUAAUGUCCAUACUUAGUUCAAAAAGCAAUCUUUCAUUCAUCUCCUUCUUUGAUGUGGACAAGGUUGUAUGCUCCUCAUAGGUCUAUUUUUAUUUAGAUCUUUUUUUGAUUGAAUUAGUCAAAAGCUCAUGAAAUCAGAGGUAGGAGAUAUCUAUUAUAUAUGAUGAUUUUAUUAAGUCUUUGAUAGUCUAUGCACAUCUAUAAAGAUCCAUCAUUUUUUUUUACAAAUAAAAUAGAAGCUUCUAUUGGAGAUUUUGAAUGACAUAUGAAGUUUUUAGCUAAAUUUUCAUCAAUGUAUUUCUUUAAUAUAGCCAAUUUAUUUUACAAUAAGCUAUAGAUUAAUCUAAAUGGUGAUUGAGCAAUUUCUAGAAAAUUAGUUAAAUAAUUAUAGGAACAAUAUUUUGAAAGAAUAUGUAUAUUUUUUAUUUCAAAAAUAUACUAAAAAUCUUAAUACUAGUUAAAAUUACCACUUGAAAUCUUUUUAUUAUAAAAAAUAAGCAUGGUAUAUAUAGCAAAAGAUGAUCUUUCUAUUUCAACGUGCAUAAAAGUUCUUGCAUCUAUCAAUAAGGAUUUGGAUAUAUUAGACUUAUGUAUUUCUAUUUGAUUAAAAAAAAAUUAGAUCAAACUAUAAGAAAAAUUAAAGUUAGAAGAAAUCUAAUCUAUUUGAAGAUUAUAUUUUUUAAAAUUAUAAUAAUCCUAAAAUAAUUAGAUUGGAGGAAGAUCUUAUUAUAUUAAAUAUUACUAUGCUAUUAUGAUCUUUAAAUGCUCCAUCUAAAAGAAUAGCCUCAUGGCUAAUAUUUCUAAAAGACAACAAAUGAUUAUCUAUGACUUCUAUAUAUAUAUAUAUAUAUAUAUGGAUUUAAUUUUUUUGACUAACGAUAUAUUAUGUUGUUAUAGAUUAGAGGGAUCUUGGAUUAAGUCUUUGCUUAUAAAACAAGGUGAAAGAUUUGAAGAGAGAAUAGGACCUUUAAUAGGUGUUGCACAUGAUUCCAGUUAUACAAUCUCUAUUAAAAUAAGACUAGACUAUCUCAAAUAUCCAAGAUCCCUCUAAUCUAUAACAACAUAAAGCCUCAUCAUAAAAUAUGACAAAACAAAUGAGAAUAAAAUUGAAUGGAACUAAAUAGAAUAUGACAUGAAAGACUAAAUUGAGCAAACAUAAAUAGAAUAGAAUAAGUUUGAAUAGAAAUAUGCACAACAAAAUUUUACUAAGAGGAAGAAUUAUAAGCCAUACUUGACAAGAUGCCUGGCUAGUCUUAUUUAUACCUUGUCCUACUACCUUGGACUUUCUAAAAUAUUCUUAGGUAGUAGGCUCUAUCUAGAUAACUGCCUUAAAUUAUUUUUUUAGUAGAUUCUAUGGUAGGCUUCAUCUAAAUAACCACCUCAAGCUUUUCUUAGAAGGUUCUAUGAUAGAUCCUACUUAAUUAACUAUCUUAAAUUCUUUUUAGAAUAUUCUACAAUGGAUCCUACUUAGUCUACUAAUCUAACUUUAAUUCCAAAAACUUCCAUGGUUCUAAUUAUCUAUAAAAUUAUCUUAUUUAUAUCUUGUUAUACCUAUUGUAACUGGAAAAAUUAAUUUUUUGAUACAUUGUCUUCUUUGGCAAUUGUGCUUUUUAUUUUGUAAUUGUGUUGUUUCUUUGGAAAAUGUUGAGUAGUAUGGUUAGUUUUUUCAUAAUAUAGGCACAAAUCUUCUUAAGGACAUUACGUCUUUUUCUGCUCUAUAAGAAGUUUAAAAUAUACUAUAUCAAUUUGUAUUAGUUUUGGCCUUGAUGAAUAUUUGUUUGAAAACUUGAAAAUUACCAUCAUUACUUGACUUGCUCUUCUUUAGCCAAGUCUUUGUUUUUGACAUUUUUUAAAAAGUCAAUUCUUGCAUGCAAUGGCGUGAGUAAUAAAUUAUUUUAGACAUUUUAUUUUUGUUAUUAUUAAUAAUAAAUCUUUGAUGUUAUCUUUCAAUCCAUAUCAACAUUAAUUGAUGAAGGCUUUAUUAUUUUAGUCCACAUUGUAAGUAAGGUUUUAGAAUUUAGCAACAUAUUUGGUAGCUGACCAUCAUCUUUAUUAUAAAGAUAAGAGCUUGAUCUUUGCUAUUCUUUCUUGAUUAAUUUCUUUAAAUGUGGCCGUAAACAUUUUUAAGAAUGAAUACAAAUCAUAGAGUAGUUGUAAAUUCUUUUUUAUCAAAGGUACAAAUCUAGAAAGAAUACUUCUAAAUAGAAGUGCGCUUAUGAAUUCAACUUAAAUAAAUCCAUCAAGAUAUUAGAAGAGAUGCAACUUUAGAUAGAAUUUGACUCGUUGUAAAUUUUUUGAUCUUGUUCCAUUAAACUUCUUGGACAUACUAAUCCUUGUCUUCAUUACACUUAUAGAAGAAAAACUUCUUCAAUUUGUUUAUAUGAUCAAUCUACUUACUUUUUUUAGUUAUAUAAUUUUUUAAUGUAAAUCUUAAAUUCUUUCUUAAGGAAUAGAAUUAAUGUUUUCUUAAUUAGCUUAUGAUGCAUAAAAUUUCCAUCCUAAGAGUGUUGAUAAGUUUGUAAAAAUUUACAAUAGUUGCAAAUCUAUUUUAAUUCUAACAAGUAAACCAUUUAUGAUUUUUUCUUCUAUUUCAAAGAAUUUAUUAAAUGUACUAGUCAAAUUAGAGGAAGGUAAUUUGCAACCUCUAAUAUUAAAUGAAAAUUUCUUCAAACAGGGAUAAAUUACUCUUUUUAAGAAAAAAAUUAGUAUUAGAGAAUUAAAUAAUUUAUUGAAAGAUAAAUAAGCCGUAAUGUUCAAAAUACAAAAAUAGAAGUAGAAUAAUCUACUCACUUUUGAAAUAAGAUAAGAACAAUGAAUGAACAUUCUUGUUAAAACUAUCAAGGACAUGAAUCUCAAAAAAAAGAAUAUUUUAAUAUACUUUUGCGUCAUUUGAAAAGACUAAAAAAUUACUCAAAGAUAAUAAUAUAUUGAAUUAAAAUAGCUAUUGACAAAGACAAGAAGACUAAAAAGUCUUGAAAUAAGACUAAAAACUAGAAAGGCAUUAACAAGAGUGAAGAUGGCUUCACUCUUGCUUCCAUAUAUAUUCUCAAACUAAGAGCUACAUGGCGAUAUUCUAUAAAGCUUCCAACUCAUGUUGACUUUGUUAAAUACAUGAAUUAACUUACAAAGCAAGUAAUCUAUAUGUGCGCCACAUAGUUAGCUUGUUUUAUAAGCUAUUAACAUGUGUAUGACGUGGCUAAUUUGUUGACCAAGAUUCUAACCUAUCAAUCAACUAUAAACAUGAAUAAAGUCAAAAUCAUAUCUAUAAAGCUUCAAAGAAGCUUUUUUAGAAGAUAUUAUGAAAUUAAUCUACUUUUAUCUACUUCUACUUAAUCAUAUAGGUAAUUAUUGGAAUAAAUAUGUAUAUCUAUGAUAUAUGGUUAUCAUCCAUAAUAUUGUGUUGUAACAAGAAUAUAUGAUGAAAAUAUAAUCAAAUAUAAAUUUUUAAUUAAUAUCUAAUUAUCUUGGUUCAAUAAUGAUUUAAGAUAUUUAAACAUGGCUUUUAUAAAAUCCUUUUAGUUUAUUUUCUUAACUUAAUAGCUAAUAGAUUAAAAUUUGGUUAAUAAUUUUACCUUCUAGGCUAUAGAAAAACUUUUAUUAUCUUACAAUGGCCAUAAAUUAGUAAAAUCAAAUUAAAAGAGAUAAAUAAUUAGUAUGCUUGAUACUAGAAUUAAGUUGAAGGUAGGAUUGGACUAAAAAAUUCCUAGAAUAUGUUAGAUUGAUAUCCAAGGAUUGAUUGUUUAUGGGAUAGGAUCAAAAUCAGACCUUGAGCCACUAAAACAACCAUCUAGGACAAAAUAGGAAAGUAUUUGAAGAUGAAGAAUUAGAAUUGGUGAGUUAGAUUCAAGUUUAUUUCAAAGGUAUAAGGCUUAUUAUCAAAAGAUUUGGAAUGACUUUACAAUUUUUGUUCAAAAUUAGGAUUUGUAUUGAUGAUUUGGGAUUUAUAUAAUAUAAUUAGGACUAGUUUUCUUGACUAGUUUGUAUUAUUAGUAUCACAUCUAUAAUUCAAAAUUUGAUAGUGCUUGGUUGAUUAGGUGUGCUAAGUGUGUAUAAAAUUUUAUAUUAAUUUAACAAUACAAUUGAAAGAUAUUUGGAUUUUGGUAUAAAAGAGUAUUAGAAGUUGGUAGUUUGAGGUUUAAUAGGGUUUCUAUGAUAUUUGAAGAUCUAUUAAUAAAAUCAAGGUGAAAUUUGACAAAGCCUUAGAAGACUUUAAUAUCAAGCUAUACACUGAUUUUGAGUUGAAAUUAAUGAUUGAAGAAGGAGAAAUUGCUACAAGAAUAUUUGCAUCAACUCUCAAGUUGAUAGCCAAGUGAUAUUAAUGUUAUUUUUGGGCUUUUUUUUACAAUCCAUAAGUUGGAUUAUGCUAAAUUUUUCUAAACAUAUUAAAGACUUAUAGUGGCAUUUGUAUGAAAAAAUUUGUACUACGUAGACAGUUAGAUUAGGAAUUAUAGAUCACCAAAAUUUAUUGAUUUCAAUUAGGAUUUAUAAAAAAAAAUCAAAAUUACCUAAUUAUAAAAGUAAUAAGACAAUUGGACUUUAUGUAUGGUUGAAGUUUCUAAAAAGAGUAUUUUUAAAUAUUUUGUAAUAGCUUUAAGUACUUUUGAAUCAAAUUUCAAAUUACAUUCUUCUUAUAUAGGUAGAACCUAUUAGAAUUUCUUAGAAAUUUAUAAAACACAAUUUAAUCUUCUACAAUCAAGUAUUUGGUAUAUUUUCCAAAUAAGAAAAUACAUAAUAUAAGAAUGACUUAAUACUUUUGACUUUUCAAAAGUUAAUAAUCUUACAGAGAAAGAUUUGGCAAAUCAUUUUUUAGAGUUACAUGCAACAAUGAAGUUGUAAUUAAAGAUAGCUCAAAAACAACAAAAGAUUAAUAUGAUGUGGAGAUAGACAGAAUUUUUCUUAAAAAAAUGUUGUGCUUCUAGUUGUCACUAAUUGCUCAACUAAGUCACAAAAUAAAAAAAUCACCAAUUUUAUAGAUAAAUUAUCCUUAUAAGAGUAAUUACAUCAAUACAUAAGCCCUAAGUACUAAGGAUCAUCCAAAAUGUGAUAAAAAUAUUUUAAAAUCUUAUAUAUCCUUAAGGUAAAAUCAUCUCAAACUUCAAAAAGUCAUAUUUCACAAUUGGACUAUUCAAACGAACUAAAAUUUUAUAUCAAGUAUUGAUGUGCUUCAAACAACUACUACAACAAAUUUAAAUUUUAAAUUCAAUACAAAUUUUGAAAUAUUACCAAAAUCCUAACAAUAGCUUUAAUUCCUUCCUUACAUACACUUCUAUGUAAUUUUCUUCAUAUCUUACAAACUAAGUAUUCAAACACCAUAAAAUUUUAAUAUAUAGAUUUUUAACCUAUUAACACAUACUUUUAAAAAAUUUGAGCCAAAAAUUCAUCCAAAACUCAAGAUAUGACUCCAAUUAUUACUAUUAAUAAAAAAAAUCACUUAACAUCUUUAAAUUAUAUGUAUUGUCUAUAAAAUUCUAUAAUUCCUUUAUAAAAACUUCAAAUACAAAAAUUAUUUAACAAAAACUAUAGAUCUUAAAAUCAAUCUUGUGGUUGCAUCUUUUGAUUCCUAAAAACUAUCAUAAAACUCCUUGUACUUUCAAAGGAGCAAGAAUAUGUCUUAAAAAUAUACUUUUACUUCAAACGGCUAUAACUUCAUCAUUCCAAUUUCAAAUCCUCCAAAAUUUGUAUAUAAAUUAUAGUCCAAAUCCUAAACCUUACAAUUCUUACUUCUAAUUCUCAAAUGCUCCUUUUGAAGUUGCUAAAUCCUUGUUAUGAUUGUGGAUAGCUUCCCCAGAGCCUAUUUGACAUGGCUUUUGACUAAUAGGAAUAAAGGUCUUGAUCCCUUGCCUUCAUCCAUCUAUACCUUACUUUUAUCUUUCCAAAUAGAUUUCUUAAAGAUUUGAAUCUUUAUCUUUAAGCUCGAAUCUUUUCUUUAAAUUAUAUACUAAAUAUCUAAAUCCUAUAUAAUUUAAAUACUAUAAUCAAUAUUAAUAAAUUUUAAAAUAAAUUUUCUUAUAUCAAAUUUCUUUAAAUUAAUCUAUUAAUCACUUUAAUAUAUAUUAAAAUUUAUAAAUAUAUUAUAUAUUUUAGUUAAUUUUUAUAUACUAUAAAUAAUAAUAAUAAUAAUAAUAAUAAUAAUAAUAGUAUAACAUUCACAUCCUUCAAACUUGUAUAUUUUUUAAUAUAUGCCACAUGCUAAUCCUCUUCACCCUCUUAAAAUAAUUUAAAUCACUCAUAGGUUCUUUUGCUUCAUAUUCUUAGUUCAAAUAUUGAGGUAAUUAUUCUUCAAGGUCAUUUAUUUUCAACUGCCCAUCUCUUCUUUUAAAAGCCUUCACUCUCUUUCUUGUUAUUGAAAUUCUAAUGAUAGCUCCAUAUAACUCACAUAAAGAAUAUGUGGCAUUAUUAUGGACUAUAACUACUAUAUGUGAUCCAAACCAUUUUUUUGCAAAUUUCUAUUUAAUGCUAUGCUGAUGUUCAAAGUUGCUAUCAUAAACUAGAACCUAGUCUUCAAUUUCUAUAGGCUUAGGCUUCAACCUAUAAGUUUUGUUAAACCUUUCUUUAUUUUUCAAUCUUGCUUCUUUUAACUUCUCAGUUAUACUUUAUAAGUGUUCAAGUAACUUUUUCAAUUAUUGGAUGUAAAGCUCUAAUAAUGUUUCUCUAUCAAUGUUAUCUUUCCAAGAUAAAAUCAUUUAUGUAAGAUAGGUAUUUUUAAUUGGCAUCAUAGAUUUUUGUCCUAACAUUAAUUCCAUAGGCAUAUAAUCAGUGGCUAUAUAGUGAGUAGUUCUAUCAGCUCAUAAAAUAAAUGGAAGUAGUUUAGGCUAUUAAAUUGGCUUAUCCUUGUAUGUCUUAUUCAAUUCAUAAAUAAUAGGAAGAUGAUUCCUUUAAUUCUUUCCAUUGGCUUUAGAAUUAUAAGAAAUAAUCAAUUCUAGUUGAACUUUAUACUUAAUAAAAAAAAGUUCUUGCUUUAACAAUAUCUAAUUCUCCUCUACUAGCUCUCAUUCUUCCAAUGCUACCAUAUUUGUUGAAGAUUUCUUUCAAUAAAAAUCUAUAUAGUGCUUCUAUAGUCUUGGUUUUCAAAGCCUUUCCUUUAAUAUAAUUUGAUAGCUCUUCUCUUACCAAAACUAAGUAUUUUAUACUUCAAAGUCUUAAUAGCAUAGCGACAAAAUCAAUUAUCCAUUGGAAAUAUAUAAAAGAACGAUAAGUAGAAUGUAAUCCAUUUCUAUACUUAACCUUAGAGUGUAAUUGACACUCUAUGCAUGAACUCAUAAAGUCUUUUAUAUCCUUGUAUAAGCCCUUCUACCAAUAUCUUUCCUUGAUCUUAGUAUAUGUGGCAUAAACUUCCUUGUGUCAUGUCCAAAGUGUAUCAUGAUAUUCUUUUAAAAUUUAAAAUUUAGUUUCAAGGUCUCCUACUAUCCUUAAUGGGAUUUUGUCACCUCUUUUUGGCCUCUUCUAUAGAAAUCUAUCUUUAAGCAAAAAUCCAUAAGAUUGGUGUCUAAUAUCUUUGAAGAUUUUAUCUAUCUAUCAUUUUUAUUUUUUCAUUGUACUCAAAUAAAUUCUAAUAACUUUUAAUUUUCUUUUAUACAAAUCUUCAUCGAAAUUUUGAAUCUUAUCACUAGAAUUUAUUCUACAAGUAGCAAAUGAAUUCCUAUAGCUCUUCUUUUCAUUACCUUCAUUUCUUUCAUAUGCCAUCAUCUCUUCUUUAAAGGUACCUAGCUCUAAACAACAUAUUUGCUACCAAGUUCUCUUUACCAAUAAUAUGUACUAAAAUAGGAUUCAAUAUUUUUAUAUAGGCUAUGCAUCUUAGCAUGGCAAUAUUUGGAGUAGUAUAGUUAAUUAUCAUUUGAAGUUAUAGCAAACAAUCUGUUUUCAAAACUAUACUUCAUCAAAUCAAAUAAUUCCUUUCAGCCUUUAGAGUGGUAAGUACUUUCCUAAGUUUUUUUUUAACUUGUAAAUAGAUCUUUUGUCUUGUGAUAAAAACCAUGGCUCUAAAUCUCAUAGCAAUUUUUUUUUCCUUCAACAUCAUCUUAUCUAAUAAUUCAUCUAAUUAUUAUAAAACUUGUAUCUAUUAUUACAAUUGCUAAUCUUUCACAUUGAUAAUCUACUUGUCUAAGCACAAGUGGUGAACUCAAAAUCUUUUUUAGAUUUUCCAUAGCUAUUUCUUAUUCUUCUUUUCAAAAAAAAAUUUUAUCCUUUAUUAAUAACUUAUAUAAAAGCUCUGAGAUAUGUGUAAAGUGAGGUAUCCAAAUAUGAUGGAAUACACAUGCCCCUAAAAAACUUCUAGCUUCUGUAAUACUUUUAUAAACUUUUAUUCUAGAUAUAGCAUCAACUUUAUCAAAGUUUGGUUUUUUUUUAUAUUUUCUAUAUAUAUAUAUUUAUUCCACCACUAGAAUCUCAUCAACUACAAAGCUUGAUUUUUCUAAAGAUAAUGUAAGAUUAACUGACUCCAAUAUCUCUAAUAUCCUACAUCUUUAGUAUGCCGCAUCUUCAAUAUCCUUCUUGAUAAAUUUUUUCAAUGUUCAACUUUCAUAGUCUCAUCUUUGUCUUCUUUCUUAUCUCUUUUUAUAGAUAUAUCAUCCAAAAAUAAAAUGGUUUUUUCAAGCACAAAUUCUUUUAAUAUUUGGUUCAUAGCAUUUUGUAUAUGAGCCAAUGAAUUGGUUGCAUCUUAACGUAAGGUAUACAUUCUCAUUAAAUCCAAAAGAAUCUUCAUGGUGGAUAAAUCCCUACUCUCUUUACCUAAUUAAAAUUGGUCAUAUCUAGAAUAUAAGUCUUCAAUAGAAUAAAAGGCAUGACUUACAAAUUGUUCAACUACUUUAUUUACUAUAAGACUUGACCCCAUGUUUUAAAUAAUCACUUUUUUUUCUAGUUGCAUAUCUUAAAUGAGCCUUCAUGUUCCUGAUUUCUUAGGUACUACAAACCAUCUAUUAGAAUAGAAAGUAAUUAGAGGUUCUAAAAUAUCCAUCUUUACAUUUUCUUUUAAUAAUUCUAUCAAUUUUGGAAGCAAAGCUUUAAGCAUAAGUAUAGGCUUUAAAUUCCAUGGAACAUAUGGCACUAUAAAGAUUAUCAUAGAUACUAAAAUAUUAGAAUCUAUAUAUCUAAUUUCAUUAAGAGUUAAGGCAAAUACCUUAUCAUGUUCAAUAAAUAUUUUUCAAAAUAUGUUUUCCUCCAUUGAUGUUAAGAAAACACCAUCUUCAAUCUUCAAUUUAGAUAGUGAUUCUUGAUUAAAUUAAUAUUUAAUUUUGUGAUCUCUCUUAAACUUGGCUCUUUAAUUACUUAUUGAUAUGUUUCAUAGUAUCAAUUGGUAAUUGGGUAGCUAUAGGUUUUAUCUUUUUUUCCAUAGUUUUAUAUUUAAUUUGAACUUUGGCCUCAUAUUUCAAUCUAUAGUUUGUAGCAAAUCCACCAUUUUUUAUCAUCUCUUUUAACUCUUCGUAAGUCUUUUUUAAUUAUAUUUCUAUUAUAAUAUCUCCAUCCAUGCUUAUAGUUAAAUUCUCUAGAAUUUUUAUCAAAUCAUCCUAUAAACCUACUUCUUUUAUUAUUCCAACUAUAUCUUCAUCAUUUAAAAUUAAAUCUAUUUUUAAGUUUUUUUUUAUUUCUUCAUCUUUUUUUGUUUAUAGAAUUUAAAUCUUUAAUCCUUUGAAUACUCACAAAUCUAUUAUUAGCUAAGUUUAAAAAUUCAAAAAUCAUCUUAUCUACAUUAAGAUUUAUAGAUUAAUUUAUUUACAUCUAUGUAUCUCCAUUCUACAAAGAUGUUCUCUAAAAAUUCACAAAGUUUUUUUCUUGCUCCAAAGGCAACCUUCUUAAUUUAUCUUUGUGCCUCUCAUAGAUAGAUUUUACAGUAAUAAAUUGCACAAUUUUUCUCCCAUCCCAACUAUAAAUCUUGGAAUAAUGUAAACCAUCAUUUAAGACUCUGAUGACCAUUCUAACAACUAUAAUAUAGAGCUGACCAAGUAAUAUUAGAUAUGUAGCAAAGUUUUAUACAAAGAAAUUUUAUUCUACUUCUUUUAUCUCUAAUUUUACUCCUUAUAGCUCAACAAGCUCCAUAUAAAUCAUCUUUUUAGUUGUUUGUAGUUCUAAUUAUCCAACCAUGAUUGAUAUCAAUUGGCCACUAAUUUUUUUCAUUUAUCUGCCUUGACAUGAUAUUGAUUUGAGAUCUAUGAUCAACUAAGGCCAAAAUUGGAUCUUUCAAGUCCUCCAAUCUCACAUAUGUCUCUGUAGUAGCUCUUGUCUAAUAAAAAAACUAUAUAGCUAUUAUUUUGUGUUCCAUCCUUAUCAUAUUUAGAGUAAGUAUUUAUACAUGUUUUUGUUUAAACUUCUUCAUUUCUAUAGAUCUCAAGAUAAGCAUUUUAUUUGAUGUUUUUUUUAUAACCUCAAUGUGUUUAAAUGAAGCCUUGUCCUCAAUAUCACUCUUAUUUUUAAUUUUUGAUAUUCCAAAUUGUGCAAAUACAUAUCCUACUUCUUCUUUUUCAUCUAUAGUUUCCGAUGUAUCUAAUGCAUCUAUUAUAAUAGCUUCAGCUGUUACCUAUCUCUUCUUCUUUAUUAUAUUGAUAAUCAACUCAUGAAAAUCCUUCUUAGCUACAUCAAGAGCCUUUUUUGGAAUGAAUUCAAUUUUGGCAUCUAAGAUCUAUUCUUCUAAAAUAUUUUUUAUAUGUGUAGAUAUUUCAAUGUCAGAUUGAAGCUUGUAAGCAAGAUUUUUAUCUUUAGAUAUAUUUGUAUCAUCUUCCUCUUUCUCUUUGUCCUUCUUCUACUACUCUUUUUGUAAUGAUGCACCACCACAAUGAGUAGAAGAAGACAUCUUCUUCAAUUUUUGCUCUUUAAAAACUUCAUUGUUCCUUAAAUACUUCUUCUUAUUUUCACACUCAAUAACAUCUUGUCUAUAAAUAAUUCUAUCUCUUUUUUCUUCAUCUAUAGCAUCAUGAAAAUCAUCAUCAUAUUUUUUCUGCUAUUAAAAAAAAUUGAUGCAAAUAGCAUCAAUUGGAUCAUUCCAUCUAAUUAUUUUCUUAAUAGCUUCAAUUUUUUUGAUCAUAGCUUGUGUAGUUUAUAAGAAAUUAGCCUUAACUAUUUUUUUCUCAAUAAUAAUAAAAUGAGAGUCAAUUAUUUUUUCUUAUAUGGUAUUAUUUUUUUGUGUUUCUUCCUCUAUCAAUUUUUUCAUGCCAUUCUUUUCAAAAUUAGUCUUUAAAGGUUCAUCUGACCUUGUGAGUCUCAUCCCAUCCUCCUUAAAAUAUAUAAUAUCAUCCUUGAUUGUAGCCUUGUAAUUAUUACACUCACUAUCCUUAUGGUUUGGAUUGUUACACCACAUACAACUCUUUACAAAUUCUUUUGAACCUUCAAUUUUCUUUGAAAAAUUUCUCAUUUAGAAUUUCUUCAACUCAAUUAUUUCCACUUUCAAAUCUUAUAUUUCUUUGGUCAAUUCUUAAAGAGUGUCAUCCUUAAUAGUCUUCCUCACUUUCUGAGGUGGCAUUAGAUUUUAGAGUAUAGAUAUUGAUUCUAGCCUUGAUAUUAAACAACAAAUCUUAAUCUUUUGUUGCUUAGUCAAGAGCCUUUAUUUCCUUUAUUAACUUCUAAUUAUUCAUAAAACCACUCUCAAAUGUCUUUUUUACUAGAUAAAAGAGUAGCUUAUCUUCUAAAUAUUCAUCAGCCACUUACAAGAAUAAUCUAGUUUUUUUUGUUUCCAAAAGUUACUUCUUUGCCAUGAAAAUUGUCCUAAUUUAAUUUCAAAUUUCUUAAUUAGUUCAUUUAGAGCCAUUUGAUUCCUUAGUCUUUGCUCAAUUCACUUCAAAAAUAUCUAUUUUAUCAUUCUUUUUGAGUUUUUUUCAAAAAAUUCAUAUUUCAAGAAUUCUUCAAAUUUCUUCUAUGAUAUAGCAUCAAUUUGCAACUCUUGCACUAACUCUCUUUGAUUUGUGGUAUCAUUUCCAAAUCAAAGGUCGUAAUUAUUUUAUAAAAUUUUAUUUUUAGAUACUUAAUUUAUAAGGUUUAAAGUCAUUAAGAAACUUCUAUAUAAAAAAAGAUUACAAAAAAGAUAAAGAUAAGUAUUAAUUAUUAUGAUUUUAAUUUUUUAAUAUUCUAAUUUUAAUUCAAUAAUUUUUAUUUUCUUUAUAUUUGAUUAUAUAUAUGUAUACAAGUUUUAAUUUUUAUUUUUUUAAUCCUUUCUAUCUUUUUAAUGGUGAAUGAAUAUUAUGUCUAUUAUCAUAUAGCAUGUUUUUUUAUUUUCAAAUAUAUUACGUACUUAACUAUAGAAAUUUUAGCUUUAAUUUAUUGACCAAGUUCCAGUACAUAAUAUAUUUUUCUUAUAGACAAAAAAUAAAUAUAAUAAUAUCAAAAGAUAUUUUAUUAAUAAAAAAUUCUUUUAUAUUUAAAAAGCUUUUUACAUAAAGCUUCUUAAAGCAUCUAAGAAUAUCUUAAUAUCUUUUGCUAUACCAAAUCAUAACUAAUUAUUUAUCGAUAAGUUAGAUUUUUUAAAAAAUCUCAAAGAAAAUCCAAAAUCUACUUAUAAAAAUCUAUCUUUAGAUCAUAAUUGUUCCAUAGCUCUAUAUCUCUAUCUUUCACAUAUAUAUAAAUUCUUAACUUCCAAAAAUCCCUUUACUUUGUAAAAAAUAUCCAAAUUAUAGAAAAAUCCUUUCAAAAUAUUUUUUUCCUACAAAAUAUUUUUUUUUCUUCCUAAAUUUUAGGAUAUCAUAUCUCUUGAUCUAAUCUUUAAAUUUUUCUGAAAUAUCUAAAAAAUAUAGCAUUUAUUUUAAAUCUUUACUAAAAUAAUGAACUAUAAAUCUACUACAAAUCGUUUGGUAUUUUAAAAACCCUAGAAGGUGUUCUAAAUCCUAAUUUAUAAGAACACUAGUACUAUUUUCUUCAUAUCUCAAAAAUCCAAAAUCCAAAUUCCACAAAAUUUAUAUAGAAAAUUUAGUAACAUAAUAAUAUACAAUUCUUGAAAUUUUGAGUCAAAAUUUUAUCAAAUUGCUCAAGAUAUAAGUCAAAGCACAACCACUAGUAAAUCAGGUCACUUACUGUCCAUAGAUUGUAAGUGUUGACUUUAACUUCCUAUAUCUUCUUCAUUCAACUUAGAAUUCAUCAAGCAAUAUACAAAAGUUAUAGUCAAGAAAGUACCCUUUCUAAUUCCAAUUGUCAAUCCUUCAUUACUUCUUGUACGCUUACAUUAUGUACAAAAGAGUGACAGUAGGUAUAAAAUUAACACCUUAACUUAGAGCAUCUAUAACUCUUUCAUAGAAACUCCAAAACAUUCAAAUUUUGCACCAACACCAUAGCCAAAAAUUUCAACUUCCUAAUCCUAGUCUUCUAAGUUCGAAUUCACUUGAAAGAGUAACCUAAUAAUAUUCCUAAUAAGGCCUUGGGUAGCCUCCUUGAAAUGAAUUUUAGCCAUUAAGAACAAGAUUUUCAUCAUCCAUUAUCAGUCAUUCUUAUGGUUGACCUAACUAUUUUUUUUUAUACAAAAGUUCUUCUCUAAUCUUUUUUUUAAUAAGUUUUACAUAAUAUGUGUCUUAAACACCAAAUAAAAGAAAUAAAACAAGAUUUCAAGACUCACCAAUGUUUAAUAAAGGUGGCUCUUAGAACAUUGUGUAGUAAAUUAUAUAUAUAUAUGCAUUAUUUUUACAUAGUAGCCAAACCACAACAUGACACUAUCUAGAUUUAUGUCCUUCACAAAAGGCCUAUAUUUGAUAUUAAGUUAGUACCUUUUCUUCUACUUAUUUUAUAAAGUAUUAUUUCUUACUUAUAAUCUAUUUUCAAAAAGAUAGUUUUAUUUUAAUUUAAUUAUAUUCCUUCUAAAGAUUUUUAUUUUUUCUUUUAUAAAAUCUAAUUUUUAUUAAAAUAUUGAUUUAAAAAUUAAUUAUUUUAGAAGUCUAAAUAAAAUUAUUAAUAAAAUUUAUUCCAAUGAGAAAAUAAUAAUUUUUUUAUUAGAUAUUAUAAUUAAAUAAAUAUAAUUUAAUAACAUUUAAAAAAUUAUAAUAUUUUUCAUUUUAAUGUAAGAUUAAUUUAAAAUUAAUAAGAUAGAAUCAAAUCGACUAAAUUUAUUACUACUAAAAUUGUUCAAAUUUAUAAUAGUAAAUACAUAAACUAAGUUGUUAACACAACUAAUUUUUUUACAAGUUUGAAAUAAGAUUCUAAAUAUUAACCAUAGAUUUGAAUUUUUAUAAAAUAUUUAUCUCACUUGUAAUUUUUACUAUUUUAAAAAUAAUUAUAUAAAAUUUUGAUUUUAACUUUUUUAUUAUAUUUUUUUAUUUAUUUUUCAUAUAAAAAAUCAUUUCUUUUAUUUGAAAAAAAUAUAUUUUGUCAUACAAAGAAUCAGAUUCACUAAAUUUUUAAGAUUUGUUAAAUUAAACUUAUUUUAAAAAAUCUUUUAAGAGAUUUUAAAUAAUAUAUAUAUAUAUAUAUAUAUAUAUAUAUGUAAAUUAAUAUUGGAAGUCUUUAUCAAGAUUAAUAUUAAAAGUCUUUAUGAAGAUUAAUACUAAAAUUAUUAAUCUCUAAUAUUAAUUUUAUCUUAUAUAUAUAUAUAUAUAUAUAAACUUUGUAUUUUAUUUCUUUUAUUUUAUUGCACAGUAUAUGUCAUAAAAAUUGAAUAAAAAAUCUUAUAUUUUAAUAAUAUAUAAUGAUUCAUUAUAAAAAAAUAAUAAAAUUUUAUUUUUAAAAAAUAAAUUCAUUAAUUAUGCAACUAAUCUAAAUUUUAAGAUAAAGCUUUUGGUUGCCAAUUAGGAUAUAAUACAUUACUAUAAAUCAAAUAAUUUGGCUAUUUUUAUGAAUUUUAUUUUUUCUAUUAGAAGAUGAAAUAGAAAUAAUAUUACUUGAAGUAGAUGUAAUUUAUUAUGUGGCUUGUCCUACAUCAUCUAUUUUCUACAAAUAUAAUCUAUCAAUUUCUUGAUGUAAUAUAUAUAUUAUUUAGUUUGUUUCAAAAAAAUACAUACCAUUGCCAUAAAUUUAGAAUAUUGAAUGGAAAUCUAAACAAGAAACUCAACAAGAAUCAGUAAAAACUAGAUUAAUCAGAUGAGUAUAAGAACAACACUAGAGAGAUGAGCUAGAGCUCUAAGAAGUGUGUUGUCAAGAUUGACGAUCCCCUCAAUCUCGGCUCCUAUAUAUACUACAAGCUAGGAGGCUUUUCAAGUAGCUUCCACAAACUAGAAAGUUUCUCAAGUAGCUUCUAUGAAUUAGGAAGCUUCUCAAGUAGCUCCUACGAGUUAAGAAGCUUUUCAAAUAGCUUCCACAAGCUUAAAAAUUUCUCAAGUAGCUUCUACAAACUACAAAGCUUUUCUAGAACCUUCUAGAAUCUUCUUCAACUUCCUAGUGUAUGUCCUUGAUAUCACUCCCUCUCCCUUUUAGCUUCGAGUUCUCCGAGAAGCACUCCUAUUGUAAGUUAGUACCAAUGUAAGAAGUUGAAAAUUUUUCGCAUAGUGUCUGUAAUAUAUUCCAAUUGUUGUUCAUACGAGAAGUAGUUCAUUGGUCCUUGUAACUAACGAUAGUAUCCUACGCCUUCAAUUUUCGACCAAGCAUGAACUUCCAUGUCUUCAUUGUAAAAAUUCCCUACAAAUGUUCCUUCGGGAAGAUCACCAUAGGCAAGUUCUACUUCAAACACAAUCAUUAGGAACCUGUUACUAAGUAUCCUCCGUCGUCUUUGUGAUAUAGGCAGUUCUUCAUCUCGGGGCCAUCCUUGGUUGAGAAGACAUGAUUGGUAUGGUAUCUAUCUCUUGGCUAUCCAUAUCAGACCGAAAAAAUAAGCACUAAACAUGGAAGAAUUAGCUUAGGUUACAGAUUUAUAGUCUCUAACUAUGUCUUUUAGAGGUUCCUUCUCUCCCUUCUUUGUAAGGUCAAGGAUUAAGAGGCUUCAAGGAGAAGGGAAUUCACUGAAAAACUUUCAUCGAAAGGGCUUAGAUUUCUAAGGAUAGCGUCGAUGAAAUUCCUAUACCUUUUGUGAUGCAUUGAUAAGAUUUUUUGUUAGUUCCCAUGUGCGCUCAUUGAUAUCAUAGCCACCCCAAUGUACUAAGUACUCCAAUUUUCCCCGCUUACAUCACAAAUCUAAUAUCUUUUCCACCUCAUAUUUCUCUUGGUUCUCAAUUUCAAUAUUAGGUGGCGAACAUUGCACUCUUCAAGGAAAAGCUAAUUCUCGAUAAGGCUCUAAUAAAGAAACAUGAAAGACUGGGUGUACCUUCAUAGCAAUUGAUAAUCCUAGAUGGUACACCACUGGAUUGAUUUGCUUUUGGAUGACAAAUGGUCCCAAUCUCCAGUAGUCCAACUUAUCACAUGGCCACUUGGUUUUGAUAUUCUAUCGAAGUAGCCAUACUUUAUCUCCAAUUUUGAAAGUAGAUGCCUGAUUCUAAAAUUUGUCUCCGGACGCCUUAUAAGCUUCUUGGGCAGUUUGCAAUUGAAGCUUCAAUGUAGUUUGAAGCUCCGAUAGUUGUUUCACAAAUCCUUCAGCUAUCGGAUUGUUAUUGGUUGAUGGACUCAACAAAUCAAGCUUCGGAUGAUAUCUAUAGUUAGAAAAGAAUGGUGUUUGUUGAGUCAACACAUGAAGGGUGUUGUUAUAUGUAAACUUCACUAACAAUAGAUAUGUAGUCCAAUCAUCUUGUUGAUAGUUGAUGCUGUAUCAUAAAUACUACUCCAAAGUUUGAUUCACCUGUUCCAUUUGGCCGUCAGUUUGAGGAUGGAAAGCCCAAGAGAGCUUGAUAUCCACCUUCAAUAUCUCAAAGAGAGAUCUUUAGAACUUUAAUACGAAUUGGGUUCCUUGAUCCGACACGAUAUCAUCUAAUAAACUAUGAUAUCAAUACACACUAUCAAAGAAGAGCCUUGUUGUGUCUUUGCUUGAUGAUGUUUUCUUACAAGGGACAAAGUAUUCCAUCGUUGUAAGCCAAUCUACCACAACAAAGAUGUUGUCAAAUGAAUUUGAUGGCAGCAAAUCUAUAAUGAAGUCCAUGGAAACUAAAGACCAUGGUCGACGUAGAAUAUGCAAUGGCUGAAGAAGACCAUAAGGACAAUAUUGAGAGUUUUUGGAUCUUGAACAAAUAUCACAAGAGAGGACAAAAUUCUUGACAUCCUUCCAUAUUUGGGGCCACUAGAACGAGGCUUUAGAUUUUGCUAUAGGAGCUGUACUUUCACAGAUAGGCACAAACAAGAAGCUUCUGUCAUGGACACAGAAAUACAGACUCGAAAUUUAACAAGAAGUUUAAGAAGAACUGACAAGAACUAGAUUAAUCAGAUGAGAACAACACCAGAGAGGUGAGCUAGAGCUCUAAGUGAUGUGUUGUCGAGACUGAAGAACUCUUUAGCCUCGAUUCCAAUAUAUACUUCUAUUUAGGAAGCUUCUCAAGCAACUUCUAUCAACUAGGAAGCUUCUAGAAGGUUCUAAGGACUAUGUCUCUAAUAUCUUCUACCAACUAAGAAGCUUCUAGAAGGUUCCAAAGACUUGCUUCUAGAAGGUUUUAGAAACUUGUCUCUAGAAGGUUCUAAGCAUUAUGUCCCUAACAUCACCCCCUCCUUUAGCUUCGAGGUCUCUGAGAAGCAAUGUUGUUUGAUCAAUACCAAUGCAAGAAAAUGAAGAUCUGUCGCAUAACGUCUGCUAUGAACUCCAACUGUUGUUCACGAGGCAAGUGGUUCAUCGGCCCUUGAAGCCAACGGUAGUGGCCCACACUUUCAACUUCUGACCAAGCAUGAACUUCUGUGUCUUCAUUGUGAAAUUGUCCUGCAAACACGCCUUUUGGCUGACCAUCAUAAGCACGCUCGGACUCAAAUACAAUCACCAGUGAUUGGUUACUCGGUAUCCUCCAUCAUCGUCAUAGUAUAGGAGGUUCUUCAUCUUGGAGUCGCCUUCGUGAGCUAGUCGAUUGAGAUAAUUUGACUGGCAUAGUAUCUAUCUCUUGGCUAUCCAUAUCAGAAGACCAAACUAUGGCUACUGAAAAAAUUCUAUUUUAUCUUGGAGAAAAUAACUACAUCAACUACGAAUUUUGGUUGUGCUCUCCCUCUUUCUUAUAAUCUUGGGUGAGCAAGCUUCAGAAGGAAGCUAUUGUCGAUCCGACUUAGGUUUAUGAGGAUGUUGUUGAUGAAACUCCUGUACCUUUUACGACGCAUUGGCGAGAUUUUCAGUUGACUCUCACGUUCGCUCAUUAAUGUCGUAGCUGCACCAAUGAACAAGAUACUCCAACUUGCCCCACCUUCGCCAUGAAUCCAGUAUCUUUUCAACCUCGUAUUCCUCGUGGUUCUCAAUCUCAAUACUAGGUAGCGGACAUUGUACUCUUCCAGGAAAAGACGACUCUCGAUAAGGCUCCAAUAAAAAAAUAUGAAAGACAGGAUGUACCUUCAUAGAAGCCAGUAAUUCCAAACGGUACGCCACUAGAUUGAUUUGCUUCUAGAUGAUAAAUCGUCCCAAUCUUCGAUAGUCCAAUUUAUCACAUAGUCGCUUGGUCUUGAUAUUCCAUCAAAGAAGUCAUGCUUUAUCUCCAAUUUUGAAAGUAGGUGCUUGAUUCCAAAAUCUAUCUGCAGACGCUUUAUAGGAUUCUUGAGCAGAUUGUAAUUGAAGCUUCAAUGUAUUUUGAAGCUCUGAUAGUUGUUUUGCAAAUCCUUCAGCUGUUGGAUUGUUAUUUAUUGAUGGACUCAAUAAAUCAAGCUUCAGAUGAUACCCAUAGUUGGAACAGAAUGGUGUGUAUUGAGUCGACGCAUUGAGGGUGUUGUUAUAUGCAAACUCGACUAGUGGCAGAUAUGUGGUCCAAUCGUCUUGCUAAUAGUUGAUGCUGCAUCGUAAGUAUUGUUCCAAGACUUGGUUCACCCGUUCCGUUUGGCCGUCAGUAUGAGGAUGAAAAGCCGAAGAAAGCUUGAUAUCCACCUUCAGUAUCUCAAAGAGAGAUCUCCAAAACUUUGAUACGAACUGGGUUCCUCGAUCUGAUACGAUAUCAUCUGGUAGUCCAUGAUAUCGAUACACAUUAUCGAGAAAGACCCUUGUUGAGACUUCACUGGACGAUGUCUUCUUACAAGGAACAAAGUACGCCAUCUUUGUAAGCCGAUCUACCACGACAGAUGCUUUCAAAUGAGUUCGAUGAUGGAAGGUCCGUGAUGAAGUCCAUGGAAACUAAAGACCCUGGUCAACGUGGAAUCGGUAAUGGCUGUAAGAGUCCAUAAAGGCGAUAUCGAGGAUUCUUGGAUCUUGAACAGAUGUCGCAGGAGAGGACAAAAUCUUUCACAUCCUUCCACAUUUGGGGCCACUAAAAAUCUCAAGAAAUAAGUUCCAAGGUCUUGUUGAAUCUAAAAUGUCCCGUAGCUAGAAAAUCGUGGCGAGAUUGAAGAACUCAGAGUCAUGCUUGUCCUUUUGGGAUAUAUAACUGCUCCUCAAAGUAUAAAAGAUCUUUCUCUACCUUGAAUUUGUCGUCAUUGGCACGUUGCUUGAUAUCAAUGGCUACUGAAUCUUUAAUGGUCGCGGCACGUACCUGAUUCAAGAAGUCAGCAUCAAUUGGCACAAUAGUAGCGCAAAGCCAAAAUUGCUCUGGCUUCAACAACGUCGUACAUUGUUGAUCAAACGCUGCUUCUCCAGCCUUUGAUACAAGAUACGAUCUUCUCGAUAAGGCAUCAGAUAGUCCUUGCUACUUUCCACGUCGAUAAGUGAUAACAAAAUCGAACCUACAUAGCAACAUACUCCACCAAGCUUGACGUCAAUUUAGAACUCGAGCCGACAUGAAAUACUCCAAAUUCUUGUGAUCUGUAUAUACGGUCACUGGGUGUGUAGUUCCUUCAAGAAAAUGAUGCCAUUCUUGGAAAGAAUCUACUAUAACAAGAAGUUCCUUAUCGUGGAUCUCAUAAUUGAUUUCAGCAGCAGAGAACUUUCGAGAAUAAAAUGCAACCGGAUGGAGCUUCUUAUCUUCUCCCAUUUGUGAAAGUACAGCUCCCAAAGCAAAAUCCAAAGCAUCAGUUUCUAAAUAAAAGGCCUUUGUAAAGUUUGGAUGUACCAAGAUUGGAACCAUAGUAAAUGCGAUUUUUAGGUCUUGAAACGCCUUUUCUGCUAGAGGUCCCCAUUUCAGCUUAUCCUUGCAUGUCAACCGAGUGAGAGGAGCAGCAACUUGAGAGUAAUUCUUAAUGAAGAUCCGAUAGAAGUUAGCAAAACCAAGAAAGCAUUGUACAUCUCUUAUCGUCUUCAAAACCUCCCAAGACACGAUUGCUUCCACCUUCUUGGGGUCCAUCUUCAAGCCUUCCGUAGUCGCAAUGAACUCCAAAAACUCCAUCUCUAUUUAGUGAAAUAAACACUUCUCCAACUUGGCAUAUAGUCCUCGCUCGCGUAGUUUCUCCAAGACCAAACGAACAUGCUUUUCAUGCUCUUUGUCAUUUUUGGAGAAUAUCAGAAUAUCAUUCAAAUAGAUGACAACAAAAUCAUCAAGGUACUCUCGAAAAAUGUCAUUCAUCAUAUGUUGAAAGACCGCUGGAGCAUUGGUAAGACCAAAGGGCAUGACAUUAUACUCAAAAUGGCCAUACCUUGUACGGAAUGUUGUCUUCCAUUCAUCUCCUUCCUUGAUUCGUACGAGGUCGUAAGCUCCCCUUAGAUCAAUUUUUGUAAAGAUCUUUGCACGUCCAAGUUGUUCUAAGAGACCAGAAAUCAAGGAUAACGUGUAACGAUUCUUCUUUGUUAUCUUGUUGAGGCCUCGAUAGUCCACGCACAUCCGCAAUGAACCAUCUUUCUUCUUUACAAAUAAGAUGGGUGCUCCAGCUGACGAUUUUGAAUGACGGAUGAAGUUCUUGGCUAGAUUCUCAUCGAUGUACUUUCGUAACUCCGCCAACUCCGUCUGCAAUAGAUUGUAGAUUGGGCCAAAAGGCGGUUGUGCUCCUUUCUGUAAGUCUAUGGCGCAAUCAUAUGGUUUGUGUUCUGGUAGCAUGUCGGCAUUUUUCUUUUGAAACACAUCUUUAAAAUCCUUAUAUUGCUCUGAUAUACUUGUUGUCGAGAUCUUCUCCCCAGUAGUUAGAACCGCAUAAAUGACAAACGGUGUGCCUUCCUUGGACGAUCUUAUAAAUGCUAUUGCUCCAAUAAAUAAGGAUUUCUCUAUUCGGGGUUUUCUACUAGGCUUGCUCUUGGGUGGUUUUGUGGGAAAGGUCAUCUUCCGUAACUUCCAAUCUAUGGAUGGGUUAUGCUUUUCCAACCAGGAAAGACCAAGAAUAACAGGAUUUGAUGGAGUUGUAAUAAUAUUGAAAAUAAUAUGACUACUAUGGCCCUUAAACGUCACUUCUAUAUGUUUUGAUUCAUGGGUGACACUACCAGACAAUAAAAGUCGCCCAUCUAUGACCUCAACGUGAACAGGUUUGGAUUUUUGUACUAAAGGGAUCUUAUGAUGCUUCGCAAAUUCUUCGUCUAAGAAACAAGCAGAUGUUCUGAAAUCUAAUAAUGCUAAGGUUCUCAGUUUCUGAGGGCCAAUAAGUAAAGGGAUUGUAAAACAAAAGGCAAGUUGAGCGGAAAAAAAAGAACCUGAUUGUUGUUGCGAUAUUUUACUGUCUAGCCGCACGGUUCCUAUUGUGGUUGGGCAUCCUCGUUUUCCUAAAUAAAUGUGCCCCUAGUCUUGACAAUACGUCGAUUUUGCUUCUUGGGGCAGUUUUCAACUUUGUGGCCUUCUUUACCGCAAUACAAGCAUAGACCUUCCUCCAUAUGCCGCUUUUUUUCUUCUAGAGUAAGGGAUUUGACACGUACCGCAUCAAUUUACAUGUCUUCUACCUCUGAAUAUGAAUUUACAUUGCUUGCCAAUAUAGUUGGGGCGUGGCGAAUUGUAUGUUGUCUUGAACGUUGGUCUUAGCGACGUUGGAAUAGGCGAUUAUCAUACUUCACAGCUUGGCUAAUAGCUUCGUUGAGCGUUUGUGGAUCAGGAAGAUUUAACAGCAAAUCCUUCAUAUCGUCCCUUAAACCCUAAUAGAAUUGACUCAUCAACACUUCUUCGUCCCAAUUGAUGUCACAUGCUAAUUGCCUGAAGUCCGAUGCAUAGACUGAUAUAGAGCGCAUCCCUUGUCGUAGUGACCAGAUCUUUGUUGUAGCCCAUCGAACCUUGUCGUGUUCACCAAAUGCUUUCGCAAAUGCCUCCAAAAAGGUUUCAAAGUUGUUUAGUAUGGAUGAUCAUUUCUCAAACAAAGGAGCAAACCAUGAUAAAGCUUGUCCUGUAAGUAAGGUUCCGACAAGCCCAACACGUGACUCCUCCGUUGGAUAGCGUUCGGGCUGUAAAACUGUUAUCAACUUGAUUUGGUUGACGAAUCCUCAAAACUUGGAACUCAUACCAUUGAACUUGUUUGGAAGGCUAACUCAGGGCUCCUUAUGUUGUAGAACCAGUGGUGCUUAUCGAACCUGAGGCAAAGUUGCUUCUCUAAGUGCAGAAUUUUGAGGUUGGUGUAACCUAGAUUGUGCCAUCCCAGAUGCUCCAUCAUUAUGAAGCCUUGCCACGACUCCUUCAAUCUCUGUAGUUCUUUGUGAUAACGUAGCGUGGACAUUCAUGAUAGCAUCCAACUUAGACUCCGAACUUUCCAUCAUACUAAUGUCUUAGCUUCCAGCCAUUCUAAGAGAAGGACAGAAAUGACUCUACAAGAAGACAAUAUUGGUUUAGAAGAGGGUACUCCGCAACCUCUAAAAUGCCUUAAGAGCUUCAAAAAAAGGAGUAAUCCACUCUCUCCAUGAAGAAUAAGGCUCCAAUAUUGUAACAAAAGAAGUAUCAGUUUAGAGGAGGGUAAUCUGCAACCUCUAAAAUGCUAGUACACUUCCAAGCAGAGAGAUAAUCCACACUCUAACAAAGAAGAAACUAGCUCUGAUAUCUGAGGUGAGUGCAGUGUCGACAAACUGUCACGGACAUAGAAAUACAAACUCGAGAUCUAUCAAGAAGUUUAAAAAGAACUGAGAAGAACUAGAUUAAUCAGAUGAGAACAACACCAGAGAAGUGAGCUAGAGCUCCAAGAGAUGUGUUGUCGAGACUGAAGAACUCUUCAGCCUCGAUUCCAAUAUAUACUUUUAUUUAAGAAGCUUCUCAAGCAACUUCUACCAACUAGGAAGCUUCUAGAAGGUUCUAGAGACUUGCUUCUAGAAGGUUCUAGAAACUUAUCUCUAGAAGGUUCUAAGGUCUAUGUCUCUAAUAUCUUCUACUAACUAAGAAGCUUCUAGAAGGUUCCAAAGACUUGCUUCUAGAAGGUUCUAAAAACUUGUCUCUAGAAGGUUCUAAAAACUUGUCUCUAGAAGGUUCUAAGGAUUAUGUCCCUAACAGCUUCAUCCGGUGGCAUUCUAUUCUUGAAAGUUUUCUGAUGUCGAGAUCAACUAUGAGAUCCAUGAUAAAAAACUUCUUGCAAUAGUAGAUUCUUUCCAUUGUAAAUUCUCAGAAAGAAAGGAACUUGAUUGUUGGUUAGAGGGCCAAAAGAUAGAAGAAUGGUAAAACAAUGGACAGGAGAAGCAAAAAGAGAGGAACUUGAUUGUUGUUGUAGUAUUAAAUUGUCCAGCCGUACAGUCCCUAUUGUGGCUGGGCAUCUUUGUUUUCUUGAACAAACAUGCCUCUAGUCUUGAUAAUACAUCGAUUUUGCUUCUUGGGGUAGUUUUUAGCUCUGUGGCCUUCUUCACCACAUUACAAGUAUAGUCCUUCCUCCAUAUGCCACUUUUUUUCUUCUACAGUUAGAGAUUUGAUACGUAGGACGUCAAUUUGUAUGUCUUCCAUCUCCGAAUGUAAAUUCAAUUUGCUUGCUAACAUAGUUGGAGCGUGAUGAGUUGUAUGUUGUCUUGAACAUUGGUCUUGGUGAUGUUGGAACAAGCGGUUAUUGCACUUCACAGCUUGGCUAAUGGCUUCGUUGAGUGUUCACAGAUCGGGAAGAGAUAAUAAUAAAUCCUUUACGUCGUUCUUUAAGCCACAAUAAAAUUUUGUUGUAAGACCAACAGUCCUUGUUGAACUUGUGUCAAGAAUAAGAACAUGAUAAAGACAAAUAAACAAGUGAGACUUCUCUCAUAGAAAGAUGAAAAAAUAGAAAUAACUUGAUAUAUAUAUUAAGAAAGAAAUUGGAAUGGCUAUUGCCAAAAGCCAAGAAAACUAGAGACUCUUGAAACUAGACUGGAAGCAAGAAAGGAGUUGAUAAGAGUGGAGAAGGCUUCACUCUUGUCUCUAUAUAUACUAUCUAACUAAAGGCUAUAUAGCAACAUUCUAUAGGACCUCCAAUAUGUGUUGACUUUGUAGGACACAUGCCUUGACUUAUAAGGCAAGUUUUUCUACAUGUGGGCCACAUAGUUAGCUUGGUCUUCAAACUAACAACAUGUGUGGCACAUGGCCAACUUAUUGAUGAUGUUUUUAAUCCCAAAAAGUCAAUUAAAGACACCUAUAAAGUCAAAGCAGUAUCUAUAAAGCUUUUAGAAAGCUUCCAUAUCAAAUACUAUAGAAUUAACUUACUUUUACAUAUUUAUACAUAUAAUUAUUGGCUUACAUGUAUAUGUCCAUGAUAUUAUCCCCCCUUCUAGGGACGAGUUCCACGAGGAGCGGUGAUCAUAUGUUGAGAAAAUCUAUGAUGCGACGAAUUGAAUCCGCCACAUACUCUGAUCUUUGUUCUCUUCAAAGAUAAUUGAUAGGGCCUCUCAAUCAUUAGUAGUGUCCCAUCCUAGGGCGAAAAAACCAUCUUGUUAUUUGAUCAUUGUUGAGACUUUCAUAACUUCCUUCAAAUAAAACAUUUGGAAUACCAUCAGGAAUUAUUCCUACCUCUAAUAAAAUCACCAAACAUCGGGAGUUCCUUCCAAGGUCGUAAUAUCAAACUUGUUGUAUCUCGCCAUCUAUUCAAGGAAGAACAUGUCAUUCUUCAAGAUCUUCAUCUCGAUUGCAUCAUCUUGAAGGUUGUGAUAAUCGUAAUGUCUCAUCCGCUAGGUCAACAAACAAAGGCUCUUGAAUCAAAUCCACUAGUUAUUGGUUAUCUAUUUCUUGAGCGUCACAACUACAAAGAAGCUACAAAAAAAGAUUGAAAAUAGAAUGUUAUCUUGCCUAGAUCUUGUUUUUUUUAUAAAGAAGGUUUUCAUCUUGAUUUUGAUGGAUGUCGUCGAUGAAAAGCCUCCACCACCUUCACUAUAUUUACAAGAUUCUUUAUUGGCUUCCAUGUGCAUUCACUAAUAUCAUAUCCGUACAAAUGGACAAGAUAUUCUAAUUUAUUUUGGCACCGCCUUGAAUCUUAGACUUCUUCUACUUCAAACUCUUCAUUAUUGUUCACUUCUAUAGGAGGAAGUGGAGCUUGUCUUCUUCUUGGUAUAUCCAUUGUCUUGUAUGGUUUAAGAAGAGAUACGUGGAAUACUAGAUGGAUUUUUAUUGACUCCUGUAGAUGUAAACGAUAUGCAACUGGAUUGAUUUGUGCAGAAAUAAAAAAUGGUCUAAGCCUUUGAUAGUCCAACUUGUCACAAAGACGAGUGGUCUUGAUAUUGCGACAAAGUAACCAUACCUUAUCACCCAUGUAAAAUGGUGGUUGUUUCUUUCGAUAGACAUCCGCAUUGAUCUUUUAUUGUUCUUGAGCUUCUUUCAAUUGUACCUUCAUCGUUGCAUGUAGCUCUAACAAAUGAAUUGUCAAAUCUUUUGCAGCAGGAUUAUCAACUUUUGAAAGGUCAAAAGUAUCAAUUUGUGGAUGAUAACCAUAAUUAAAAAAGAAAGAUGUUUGUUUUGUAGAAGAAUGUACCGUGUUAUUAUAAGCAAACUCUGCCAAUGGCAAAAGAGUUGUCCAGUCAUCUUGUUGGUAGUUAAUGGUACUGUGAUUGCUCGUUUUACUUAUUCUAAAUUAAUCUAAUGAGAAUAAACCCGUAUACGGGGAUUUCAACACGGGGAAUGACUAGUUGCUUAAGCUUUCACGUUAGAGUCACACAAUCAAUUACCUCCUCAAUGUAUCAUCUCUAUUUCCAAUAUCUGAAGUCACAAGGAAACUAUAAUCUCCUCCUUCACCUUAUCGAUCUCUUCUUUACAGCAAUUCAGUCAUAUCAAUAACUGCUAUUUCUACCAAUAUAUUCACCUUCAUAAUCUCCAACUGUAAUACUGCACCCUCACAGCUUUCAACACACAAUUACCCUUAUUUCAAUCAUUGGAAUUCUUCAUACAGAACUGUCAUUCACAUUACGCUGUUUCACACAAAUACAGACUCAUUUUCUCUGCUGGACUACAAUCAAAUUUCAGCAUUCAAUCUUUCUUCUUCUCAAAUAAUACCAAUCACAUUUCCAUUCUAUAAUUUACUUCACAAUAUUCAAAAAAUCUGAAUCCUCUUAUUUAAAGAAAAUAACAAACAAAAGAAAAGAGGUAGCACCAAGCUUAUCCCGGCUCACACUAUCACAGCGAUGGUACUUUAAUUAACUUCUACAACUCCUAUAUACUUUUCCCUGAUUCUCCAGAUUCUAACCGUAAUUCUGUAAUUAAUCGCUUUUAAGAACUAAAUCACUCAUCCGUCCUCUUGAAUUUUUUAUUAUAUGGACUAUUAAUAUAUUUUACCAAUAUCUUUCAAAAACGAAUUAAUAUCUAUUUUACAGGUACAUCUUAAAUACUACUCCAAAACUUCAUUAACACGCUCCGUUUGUCCAUCAAUUUGAAGAUGGAAUGUCGAAGAUAGUUUUAUAUCCCCUUUUAGAAUCUUGAAAAGAGUCCGCCAAAAUCUUGAUACAAAUUGAAUUCUCCUAUCUGAUAUAAUAUCUUUAGAUAAUCCAUCAUAGCAGUAGAUAUUGUCAAGAAAAAGCUUAGCUGUUUCUUCACAUAUGAUAGAUUUUGUACAUUGUACAAAAUGUACCAUCUUGGUAAAAUGAUCUACUAUCACGAAUAUAGAGUCAUAAGAACUUGAGAUUGGAAGAUCCGUGAUGAAAUCCAUAGAAAUAGAAGACCAUGAUUGUUUUGGAAUGGGUAAUGGCUGAAGAAGUCCAUAAGGUCAAUGACGAGGAGUUUUUGAUCUUGAGCAAACAUCACAAGAUUGUACAAAAUCUUUGACUGCUUUCUACAUUUGUGGCCACAAAAGUCCCUUCAUAUUAGUUCUAAAGUUUUAUUGUACCCAAAAUGUUCUGCUACUGGAAAGUCAUGACGAGCUUGAAGAACACGUAAUCGAGCUUCACCUUCUGAAACAUAUAGGCGUCCCUCAAAAUAUAAUAGAUUCUUCUUGAAUUCAAACUUGAAAGUAUUAUGAGACUUUGAAGGAUUUCUCUUCAUAUCACAAAUAAGAGGAUCAGAAGACAUACUUGACUGAACUUGCUUAAUGAAAGUUGAAUCAACAAUUAGUGUUGAUUUCAUUGAUCGAAGAUGAAGAUGCUCUGGCUUCAAGAGAAUUGUUUGUUGUUGAUCAAAAGCAGCAACUCCUUCCUUCAAUGCAAGAUAAGAUCGUCUAGAAAGUUCAUCUCACAAACCUUAUUGUUUUUUUGGUCGAUAAGUGAUCUUGAAUUCGAAUCUUAAUAAAGACAUACUCCAACGGACUUGGCGAUGAUUCAAAACAUGUGCUGACAUAAAAUAUUCAAGAUUCUUGUGAUCUCUAUACAUUAUGACUGGGCUAAAAGUACCAUCUAGAUAAUGGUACCAUUCUUGAAAAGAAUCCAUGAUUGUAAGUUCUUUGUCAUAGAUCUUGUAGUUAAUCUUGGCCAUUGAAAAUUUUCUGGAAUGAAAAGCUAUUAGAUGAAGUUUAUCAUUUGUUCCCAUUUGUGACAAUACGACACCCAAAGCAAAGUUUGAUGCGUCUAUUUCUAUAAAAAAUGGCUUAAAAAAAUCAAUGUGAUACGAGAUUGGUAUAGAAACAAAGGCUGUCUUCAAAGCUUCAAAUACUACUUCUACUUCUUGAUUCCAUUGAAGUUUGUCUUUGCAAGUCAAACGUAUAAGUGGAGCUACAACUUGAGAGAAGUCUUUGAUGAAGAUCCGAUAGUAGUUAGCAAAUCCCAAAAAGUAUUAGACAUCUCUUACCGUUUUUUGGAUCUUCCAAUCCAUAAUAGUUUGAACUUUCUUAGGAUCCAUCAUAAGUCCAUUAUUUGAAAUAGUGUAUUCUAAGAAGUUGACUUGAUUAGUGUAAAAUACACACUUUUCUAUCUUGGUAUAGAGUACUACAUCUCUUAGUUUUUUGUAAUACUUGGCGAAUAUGAAGUUCAUGUUCUUCUAAGUUCUUCGAAUAGAUUAAGAUAUCAUCUAGGUAAUAGACAAUAAAAUCAUCUAAAAAAUCUUGAAAGACAUCAUUCAUUAGAUGUUGGAAUGCUGUUGGUGCAUUUGUAAGUUCAAAAGGCAUGACAUUAUAUUCAAAAUGUCCAUACCUUGUUCGAAAUGCAGUCUUCCAUUCAUCUCCUUUUUUGAUGUGUACCAAAUGAUAUGCUCCUUGUAGAUCUAUUUUUGUAUAGAUCUUAGCUUGAUUCAACUGAUCAAGAAGUCCAGAUAUCAAAGGUAGUGGGUACUUAUUUUUUAUAGUGAUUUUGUUGAGUCCUCGAUAAUCAACACAAAUAAAAUUGGAGCUCCUACUGGAGAUUUGGAAUGGCAUAUGAAGUUCUUGGCCAAAUUCUCUUCAAUAUAUUCCUUGAGUUCAGCUAAUUCAUUUUGAGAUAAAUUAUAGAUUGGUCCAAAUGGCGGUUUUGCUCCUUCUUGAAGGUCAAUUGAGCAGUCAUAGGAAUAAUGUUCUGAAAAAGUAUUCGCAUUCUUUUUCUCAAAUACAUCUUGAAAAUCUUAAUAUUGGCUUGGAAUUCCACUUGAAGUCUUUCCACCAGUAGAAACAGGUAUGGUAUAAAUGACAAAAGGUGAUCCUUCUUUUGCAGCAUGCAAGAAAGUACUUACACCUACAAUUAUAGGUUUAAUUAUACUAGACUUAUGACUUUCUACUUGAUUAACUAUACUCUUAGUUAUACUUUCAGAAAAGUCAAGACUACGAGAAGUCCAAUCUAUUUUAGGAUUAUAUUUUUUUAGCCAUGAUAAAUCUAAAAUAAUUAGAUUAGAAGGAGAUCUAAUGAUAUUAAAUAUUAUAAAGCUACUAUGACCAUUAGUUGCUAUUUCUAUAGGAAGGAUUUCAUGAGUAACAUCUCCUGAAGAAAACGGACGACCAUCUAUGACUUCUACAUGAAUAGGUUUAGUUUUCUUUAUUAAAAAUAUACUAUGUCUUUUAGCAAAAUUUUCAUCUAAGAAACAUGCUGAUGCUCCUAAAUCUAACAAGGCAGAGGCUUUAAGAUAUUUAGGUCCUAGAAUAAUAUUUAUCGUAAAACAUGGAGAGGGUUCUGAUGAGAGGAUAGGACCUUCACUAGGCAUUGUACAAGGUUCCAGCCACACGGUCCCUAUUGUAGCUGCACAAAUUCAUUUUCCGACAUGCUAUCUUCUUUAAUCGCCGUACUCUUCAUUUUAUAUUUAUGUAACUUCUUUAGAUAAUGUUGAGCAUUGUGCUUAGGUUCUCUACAAUAUAAGCUUAAUCUUUUUUGACAACGACAAGUCUUUUCUUGCUCAGCAAGAGGUUUGAAACAUACUGCAUCAAUUUGCAUAUCCUCUAAUUCCGAAUGUAUGUGUUGAAGAGGUGUUGGUAUUGCCAUUGAAUUAUAGUAACAUUGAGGUCCAUUUGUACGGUUCUCAAAUCAAAAUUCAAAAAGAUGAUUGUCGCACUUCACAGCAAAGUCAAUUUCUUGACUCAAUCUUUGAGGAUCAAGUAAGUUGAACAUUAAUUUUUUUACCUCAUAUUAUAAUCCGUAGAGAAAUUGGCUAAUAAGUGCACCAUCAUUCCACUUGAUAUCAGUUGCAAGUUGUCAAAAUUAUGAAGCAUAUAACGUUACUGAUCAAUUGUCUUAUCGUAAAAUAUGGAUCUUAUUGGUUGCAACACGAAUUACAUCAUAUUUUUUAUACAUGGAUUGAAACUCUGCUAGAAAAGUCUCUAGAUUAUCUAAUAUUGGAUCUCGUCAUUCAAGAAAAGAUAAAAACUAUAAUAAUGUUGAACUUGAAAGAAGCGUACGAAUGAAUUUAACUUGCGAUCCUUGAGUUAGAUAGCUUUGGAGUUGAAGUUCAAUUACAAGUUGCACUUAAUUGAUAAAUCCUCGAAACUUGGAUCUGGUGCCAUCAAACUUCUCCAGUAGGACAAUUCUUGGUUCUCUAAUACUAGAAGGAUGUUCCACCAUAUGAGAAGGGAAAUGAUUUGGUACAAAUGUUGAAGCAGCUUCAAUCAUUUCUAUAUCUUCAAUUCUUGCCAAUUUUGUUGUUCCUUCUAGUGAUAAAUUGAGUUGAUGCAUCGCAAGGAUUAACUCCUUCAAUUGCUCUUGCAUUUGUGCCAUUGCACUCUUCAUUUCAACAAGUUUUGCCAUGAUAAUACUUAGAAAAGAGAAGAUGUCUAGUAUCGCUCAAGACAAAUGGAAGAAAGGACUUGAGAUCAAAGAAAAUACUAAGAAUAAUAUCAGUUUAGAAGAGGGUAAUCCGCAAUUUCUAAUAUGCUUGUGUCUUAUCAAGAAAAAGGGGUAAUCCACUCUUAAUCAAGAUUACACAAAGCUCUAAUAUUGUAAGUGUACUCUUGUCAAUCUGUCAAGGACAAGAACAUGAUAAAGACAAAUAAACAAGUGAGACUUCUCUCAUAGAAAGAUGACAAAAUAGAAAUAACUUGAUAUAUAUAUAUAUAUUAAGAAAGAAACUGGAAUGGCUAUUGCCAAAAGACAAGAAAAGUAGAGACCUUUGAAACUAGACUGGAAGCAAGAAAGGAGUUGAUAAGAGUAGAGAAGGCUUUAUUCUUGUCUCUAUAUAUACUAUCUAACUAGAGGCUAUGUGGCGACAUUUUAUAGGACCUCCAAUAUGUGUUGACUUUAUAGGAAUUAUGCCUUGACUUACAAGACAAGUUUUUUUAUGUAUGGGCCACAUAAUUAGGUUGGUCUUCAAGCUAACAACAUGUGUGGUACGUGGCCAACUUGUUGACGACGUUUCUAAUCCAAAAAAGUCAAUUAAAGAAAUCUAUAAAGUCAAAGCAACAUCUACAAAGCUUCUAAAAAGCUUCUAUAUCAAAUACUAUAGAAUUAACUUACUUUUACCUACUUUUACUUACUUCUACCUAUUUAUACAUGUAAUUAUUGGCUUACAUGUAUAUGUCCAUGACAACUAGAGGCAAAGCUACUUCUAUUGGUGCUGAAGCUUGAGGUUGGUGAAUCCUCGAUUGUGCCAUCCUAGAUGCUCCAUCAUUAUGAAGUCUUGUAAUGAUUCCUUCAAUCUCUAGAGUUCUCUAUGUUAACAUAGCAAGAGCAUUCAUAAUGGCAUCGAACUUAGACUUCGAACUUUCAACCAUACUAAUAUCUUGACCUCCGGCCAUUCUAAGAGAAGGAAAAAAAUAACUCUACAAGAAGGUAGUAUUGGUUUAGACGAGGGUACUCCACAACCUCUAAAACGCCUUAAAACCUUCAAAAAGAGGGAUAAUCCAUUCUCUCCAAGAAAGAUAAGACUCCAAUAUUAUAAUAGAAAAAAUAUCAGUUUAAAAGAGGGUAAUCCGUAACUUCUAAAAUACUAGCACCUUCAAGCAGAGGGAUAAUAUAUAUUCUAAUAAGAAGGAUCUAGCUGUGAUAUGAAAGAUGAGUUCAGUCUCGUCAAAUUGUCACGAAUUUAGAAUACUAACUAGAAAUCUAAACAAGAAGCUCAAGAAGAAUCGGCAAGAACUAGAUUAAUCAGAUGAGUACAAGAACAAUACUAGAGAGGCGAGCUAGAGCUCCAAGAGGUGUAUUGUCGAGAGUGAGAAUCCCCUUAGUCUCGGCUCUUAUACAUACUACAAGCUAAGAAGCUUUUCAAGUAGCUUCCACAAACUAGGAAGCUUCUCAAGCAACUUCCUCGAGCUUGAAAACUUCUCAAGUAGCUUCUACAAACUACAAAGCUUCUCUAAAAUCUUUUAGAAUCUUCUACAACUUCCUAGUGUAUAUCCUUGACAACCACACUAUUGAUUGAUGCAUUAAUAAGGUGAAGACAUGACCACAUAUUUUUGACCAAUUUAAUUGUUAAGAAGCAAUGUUGUUGCAAUUUUGUUUAAUAUGUUGAUAGGCUUAUAAAUCAUAAUAUUAAGAUAGAAAACAUUUAUUAUUUAUGAGCCCAAUUGUCAAAAAAAAUAAAAAUUAUAAUUAUACUUAAGAAUUUAGACUAUUCCAUUUCAAAAUUCACAUUGGAAGAAAGAAAUAUAUAGAUAUAUAUAUAUAUAUAUAUAUAUAAGUGUGAUUUUGAACAUAAUAACAAUCUAAUGUAUGUGAAUAGCCUAUACUUAGGGACUGCCCUUGAUGGUGGCAGAUUUCAGGGAGAGGCUGACCAACUUGAAGCCAUCAGACAAGGAAUGGGUGGCUUUGGUAGUGCAAAUGGGGAACCAUUUACGAACACCACAUUGAAUUUUCCAAAUCUUUUUCGGUCCAGUAUUAAAAACCUCCCAGUUAAUGGUGAAUUUGAGAUGAUUGUUUUCUUGAAACCCUGCUUGAAAUCCACCCAGUCAAGAAAUGGGAGUGUAAGCAUUGGCUACAUGCAAGCGAAUUCAGAGUAAUGCAGUAUCACAAAUAUCACUGGUCCAAAGAAACCAGAUUGCUUUGUCUCUCACUCGGUCUUUUAGGUUGAUGCAUUGUACCUUCUUCUUGACGUGUAUAUUUUAUCACAACAUUAUUCCUUAAAUUUUGAAACUGGUAUAGAAUCAAGUUGCCGCAGUUUCUUUCCAAUCGAAAUUCCUGACAUGGUUCAAAGUCCUGUCGCCAUCCAUCGGUAAAGCUGUCCUUACAACAAGUCGAAGUUUUGCUUGUCUUCAACCUGCAGCGAGACCUAAGGCGCAAGAAAAUAAUCUAAGCUCAUCCUCGCCAGGGGGCACUGUCUCUUUCACCUGGCAACCGCAUGCUCCAAUGCUGAGAGUGUCCUGCAAUUCGCCAUGGGUCAUUCAGGCUUCUGUAUCAUACCCAGAAAUAGCUCUGCCGAUCCGGAAAAUUGAACAUAAUUUCUGAUAUCUCCUCUCUCUCUUCGUGCAAUGAUCAGGAAGAACCGGCAGUUAUUAAAAUCAGUCGAGCUAAAUGCUCAGUCACCGAUUCUAAAUACGAAAUUUGUUUUAGGGUUUCUCUAUAUAAAGGAAAUUUCAAGACAAAGCAGCGGCCCCAGGUUGCUGAUGGAAAACAAGGAAUCUUGUCCUACUCCAUCCAAAUUUCUUCCCAUUCCCAGCCCUCCUGAACCCAACUGUCUGCCGAGCCUAUGGACAGCCCUGGUGCAUGGAAAUUAAAGACGGCUCCGGAAAACAUGCCAUCGAAGCUAAUUUGUUAAAUCUUGCCUAGUAGGGCCCGCGGGUAACCACACUUGAAGCGAGGCACUUUUGAGUUCUAUCCACCAACUAUCUAUAAUUGCAUACUUGGCAAGAAACCGCACUCCAAAAUCACGCCGCCUUAAUGAGUUCUACCAAUUUAUCGACGGAAAGGGCUUCGCAGACUAUUCUCCCACACACAACUUUCCUAGGUAAAUAUCAAGCAGCAUCGAACGCAGAAUAUGAGACACAAAAAUCAGUUUUAUAAGAGGCGGACCAAUGCGCUCCCUGAUGCUCCAUUGAAUGCCAGCGUGGUGCUCCUCGUACAUGGCGUUAAAAAAACCAUGACUUACUGAACAAUGGUGCUGCUCAUGAAUAGGAAUGCACUCGGUAUCCAUUUCGGUGCCCGGGCCAGUCUGGCAGUGAUGGUGAUCCAUUGGUAUUUGCGGCCUGGCGAGCUAACCCCAUGCUCACCCACGAAUGGCCCAUUAUGGAAAUGGAUGAGAACAAUCUUACCUUUUCCGGUGCCUGUGAGUUCAUUCAGUACAUCAGCCUUGUGCGCUAAUUAUAGAUCUUGAUAAUCGAAAUUGGAUUUUAAUGUUGCACAAUUUGGAAGAGAAGAGAUCGAGGAGACUUUCGAUGUAUUUGGGCUGGUUCCGUCCUUAGGUUGGCGCACGGAUCCAUUCCUCGUGAGUAGGAUCUGUGUAGAUACUCCUCGUCACAAUUCCCCCACUUCACAUGAAUUCUUAGCCAAAACCCUCACACUCAGAUCCGAUUCCUGUUGCUAAUAUUGGCAAAUAUGUGUUUUCUUAUUAUUUUUUCGUGUUUUUUUUUACCUCUACCAUUACAAUCUGAAGGUAGAUUUGAAGAGGGAGGCUGUUCUGGCCGGAACGGUCGUCGUCUACAGCGUUCUAAAGAUGCCCGUGCUCUGGAGCUCUUCCCUCGACGCCGACGCCGACGCAGCAGCCACUAAUCGACAUUCAUCAUCAACGGUACUGUCCUAGAGCACUGUAGUGGCGUUGUAGGCUACAGUGGUUAGCGUUAGUUGCUUGUUCUAGGUUAGUCGUCCUACUCGUCUACCAUUUGCCUCAACAGCUUUUCUGUCUCCCUCCUCGUAAUAGCCAGAUCGGGUGGCUGUGUUCUUUUCCAGCUCCGCAGGUGUUCGUCACAGAAGAUCGUGGUGGGAAGAAAACCGCAAGGAGAGUUAAUCACUAGUGGUCUUGUUGUAGCUUUUUAGCCUGCGAUAAUCCUUGUGGGUGGCUGGCUUGCUGAGGAUUGUCUUGUAUUGAAGUACAGUUCGUUAGAGAUGGUUGGAGGGCAUUAACGGGUCGUGGCCAAGGACCGAAAUUGCGGCGGGUGGAGGGUAUGGAGACUAGGGUGUGAGUUCAGGAAAAGAUGGUGUGGUGAAGGAGGUGGGAAAGAUGACGAGUUUUUGUGUCAUUGAGGAAAUUCUGACGGAUUUGUAAAGAGUUUCUGCAGAGGAGCUUGUUUUACCAAUGGUUGCCCUAGCUUGGGUAGUGGUACAUAAGUUCCUGUGGGCGCUAUGGAAGGUGUAGAGAAAGAGCGGACAGGUUGGAUAGCUGGGGAGGAGAAGGUUAAACAGGCGUAGUGUGAAGGAUCUGUGGCGUUUCGGUUGGCAUUGCUUGCGUUGUAUGUUGUUUCUUAUGUGGCUGGUGCACUUUGUUCUGUGCUGCUCGGAAUUUGACCUGGUCUUAUGUAUGAGAAAUAAGACCUUUGAGGUGUUCCCUUGGGAGAGUUUGGACGUUAGAGAUAACAGAGUACUGACGUACGGAUUCUGCACGUAAUAGGGCUUACACAGCGUGAGAUAGUGAAUGAGUUCGAUAAGAAGUCGGGAAACUAAUUGGCGAGGUCGAGGCAAACUCUUCUUAUUGGUGAGGUUCUAGUUGCCAUGGCCUUUGCUGUCAUUUGAAGUGGGAGAUGGAGCCCUGACCUUCAACAGCUGGUUUGGAAUUAGGGAAGAGGAGGGGCUGAACAGGACGCACUUGCCUCGUGCUUCGGGCCUGUGUCCCGCGGCAUUCGAUCUUGAAGCGAGGAUCUAUAGUUGUAGUGAAUUGGAGGUUUCUGUUGGAACGUGUCAGUGCGAGGUCUAAGUUCUUUGCCCUCCAGCAAUGGUUGGCGGUCAUACAUGAUAAGGAUCUACUGUGAGACGACAUCUGUAAAUGCCAGCUAUGGCGCUCUGCCGUUGAUGACAUAAACAUUGGAAGGACGAAACGUUUGUGUCCUACCUCUUCUCAGGUUGGACUUCAUACUUUGAGUUUAAUUCUGCUGGUUCUUGCUGGAUUUUUACUCUGGUGAUGCACAGUAUCUCUAGUGAGCUUGUGAACCAUGGAAUGACCUGUUAGCAGCAGUGGCACUACCGUUCUGGUUUGAUGCACGUUCAUUGUUGUCAAACGCUGACAUCUAAUUCAUCAUUCGAAACACUGUUUGAACACAAGUGAUAUGAAGAUUUUAGUUCAUCGUGAUCGAUGUAUUUGUUUAUCAAAAAGAAUGAAAACUACCAUCCUGUUCUGGACAUUGUAGGAUCCAUCCUGAGGUAUUCUGGCAUUUUGCAUUACGGUCGCCAGAGAUUCUCCCAAGGAUGUGAACUCGUAGACAUCCGUUCUAUGAAUUGAUGUUAUCAAGCAUAUAUCUGUCUGUAAAGUUGGUAUGCGUUUUACCACAUGAUUAUUGAUUAUACGUUGAUUUCAACUUCGUUUGAAGAAAAAUCUGAACUUGCUCCCAGGCACAGUGAGUUCUUCGUUUGGUUGUGGAUGGUAACUUCACAACACUCUCUUGGUCAUGGUCUAACUCAAUUGCAAACCAUCACUGCUGCAGAUGGCACGAGGUGGAUGCUGCUGGAGUGGGCCAUUUUGUCUUGGCUCAUUAUCCCGCAAGAACAAGAAGCGAAUUGUUCCGGCAACCAGAGUGCACGAUGGAACUGCACAGCCAUCUGACCCUCAGGGCCAGUUUGCCUUCCUACUUGCACCCCCUUCGUCUCCUGCUUCCUAUGCAAAUUCUAUGGCACCUUCCUCUGUUCAGUCGCCCUACUACCCUUCAUCGUGUCCUGUUCCUCAGGGUGGUGGGUCUAGGAUUCCUCUAGAAACACAGUCUAACAUGUUCGCUGUAGGUCCGUAUGCACAUGAAACCGCUCUAGUCUCUCCACCAGUUUUUUCUACGUUCACAACUGCUCCCUCCACAGCUCCUUUUACGCCCCCUCCAGAGCUUGCAGCCCAUUUCACUACGCCUUCUUCCCCUGAUGUUCCUUUCGCAAAGCUGUUAGGAUCUUCGUUCUCAGAACAGCGAACUACGAAGCGAGAAGCGGAGCCUCCAUACUCAGCCUCUCCAUUCGCUUCCCCAGAUUACUAUCAGCAAGAUCACCAUCCGCAGGAUGACUUGCAGGUUGGGUAUCAGUUAUAUCCAGGAAGUCCGCUUGGUCGUUUAAUUUCUCCUGCAGGCACCACGGGCGCGUCAACUCCUUUUGCUGCAGGUGGCACUACUGGUACUAAUACUCCUCAUGCAGAGAGUGACAAUCCUACUCCACUGACUGUCCUUCCAGCAGUGGUAAGCACUUUACCUAACCUUGAGCACCAGGUGGCUGAAGGGCUUCAUCAGAGGAGUAUUCUUGAUUCUCAGUGCGGGCCAGGGGAACCUCUGAGUGACAGUGGUAGAGAGCGGCAUGGGAGCUUUGACAGUCACUCGCGGUUCAUGGUAGCAAUGAUACACGAACGCGAUGGAUCUGAUUCCAACUCAAAUUCGUAUGGACAUGAGCGGUACAGCGGAAGUUUGACUGGGCUUAAUGACGUCUUGGAGGGACGGAACAGGUAUACGAAGUUGAAGCAGGACAAGGGUCCUCGAUCCUCUAGUCUGAGAUCCCAUGAGAAAGAGGAUGAUAUUCAGGAAGAGGACUUGCUUGAACUUCCCAUGCUAUUAGGCAGUGAGAGUUCUCAUGGUGGUUCGAGAGCAUCACGGUCUCCAAGUAGUAGAAGUAAAGUUCAGAGCAAGGCAGGGAGCAGAGUAGGGAGCAGGGUAGAAAGUAAGGCAGCUAGCAGGGUAGGGAGUAAGGCUGGGUCUGAUGCCUUGAAAGAUUGGGAUCACAACGAGGAUAACUUAUUGGAAUAUGCACUAAGCUUGCUUGAAGGAACUGAUGGAAAAAGACCCGGAACAAUCGGGUGGGCGCCAGUGGAUACCUCGCUCCCACGAGAAUCUGAAGGUCCCAUUCAGUCAUCCUCUACCACGAGAAACGAGACCGAGGAGAAUGAAAAGGAUACUGUGUAUAAAAGUAUCAAGAAUGGUAAAGGUAGCGACAAUGUGCCCCAGCAAGUAGUGGGGGCGGGAGCAAAGGAGGUUUCUGAGGGAACGAUUACUCCGGUUGGACAUCAUGGUAGUGCACCUGGUAAGCAACCUGAAGAUAGGAAAACAGAUAGGUAAGCAAUCUGUAUUCGGAUGUGUUUCCUCGUUAGAUAUGCAUGAUGGUUGCUUCUCAUCAUCUUAUUUCUCGCAUCUGCGGGAAUCUAAGCCAUUCAAUUUUUUUGAACUAAAAGUGUUCGAUGUAACUCUUGCACAUUUUGAACUUCACAGAUUGCUGUUCGAGAUGCGAAUCGCUUGUCUCUCAGUGUGAGCAGCUAUCAGUGGCUUUGAAGGAGGCUAGAAGGAAACAACAAGAGAAAGAUCGACUUGCGGAGGAAAGAGAAAAACAAAUAAGGCACCUUACACAGCUACUGCAGUCAGGGGUAUGGAUUCAUCUUGAUUUUGGAAAGUUAGUUCUCUCUUUGAUUUAGUGGCUUUUAGACAAGCUUCAAAAUUCCUGUGUUGGUAAUUAAUGUCAUUACCCUUGAAACUAUCAACAGCCUGAGGUGAACAGCUGAUUUAUGGUUCUGUAUUGGAACAAGUGUAUAAAUCUAUGUUUAGUUGCGCUUAUUUCUGUGGAGGUUUGGCAAUCAUUCUCUAAGAAGAUGUAUUUACAAGCAAUCCUGCUCUGAAGUUUGUUCGCCUAGUUUUGUUUCCGUGCAGAGACCACCACAGUUUCACCCAAAGUAGCAACCUUGAUUUCUUUUGGCUUAUGUUUGUAUGAAGGUACCAUUUUAGGGUUUUAAUCUGUGAUAUGCGUUCUAUGAUUCUUAGGGUUUACAGAAAUUUGUCGGGGAUUUUCCAAAGGCUGCCAACCAAGUGGGCGAGGGCAACAAUGUCAAAGACAUAUCCUGAUAUAGGCAUUUUUCACAAGUUUAUCAACCUUUCCAAACAGACAUUACAUGCAUAAGUAAUAACAAGAGCUUGUGGUCAAUCUGGAUAGGAACAGGGCAGUUUCUUACAAGUCCUAGAUCUGUUGGACGAGCACAUGCCGGAGGUACCAUAUUUAGCCAGACAUUCGAAUCACUGAAAAGCCUCAAUAGAUCUUGUAAUGGGUUUCACCUGGGGAUAGACGUUUAUGGUAUCAUACAGUAUUUUACGAUUUGCAGAGUCACUGUCUGAUAGGUUAAACAGCAUUUCCGACAUGUGGUUUAAACUUCGUUCAACUUUGUAUCAGGAAUACCUGAGUCGAGCAAGCUUAUUCUGCCCUGUUUCUGAAGAAUUCAACUUCUCCGCAGGUUAGCGAGUCAGCGAGCAUCGGGUUUUCUUUGAGGGAAAUCGGAAGCUCUGUCAUUUCUUAUGGGCACCAAGGCAUGAGACUCAUCUUCUAUUAUUAUCAUGUUUGACACUCGUUUGAGAAACCUGGCUUUCAGAAUCUUUGCUGGGUUUUAGUCAUGAGUUUAGACUUGCCGAAUGGAGCAAACUUUGUCCGAAUGAUUUCGCGCUCACAUUGUGCAACGAAGUGUCAAAAUGCUGGCCGAAAUAGCAUAUUUUUACAAAGUCGUUCUUGCUUGGUCUGAACUACCUCAACUCACUUGCAGUUACGUUGCACAUUUGCUGAUGAUGAGAACGCGUUCUGUUUAGGGGAGUUUAUGAGCUACGAUCCUGGUUCACAAGGUUUUAAAGCGGCUUUGUGCUGUCUCAGUUGUAGUGGAUAUUUCUCGGAUUAAGUGGUGAUGAUCUUGACAGGAAGGAGCACGUUAGCCCAAGUUUAGUACUUGAGAAUAGCGAGUCGUGAUGAAUCAAGCAAAGUAACCCUCUACUGCAUUGCGGUGGUGUUCAGGAACAGAAUUACACAAAAAGCACUACGGAAGAAAAGACUAGGAAAAUUAAUCGAGGACAUCCAGCAUGGGCAUUUGAAUAGAAAAAUCACUUCAAAUUACAGCUUUCCGCCAAGCUUAAGAUUGGAAUUCCCCGUUCUUAAUUAUGCACAAUCAGAUAGGUAAGCAGUUAGACAUGGCGCUCCAUCGUAGGCAUAGACAAAUCCCGCGACCAUACAGAAAUGCUUGCGUGCGACCAGUUGUGGCUACACAGUUCUGAUUACCAGCACGGCACAUUCCCAGUUCUGACGGGGUUGCGUCAGAUUUACGCUUAGGAAACAAAGAUGAGGCUCGUUUGGGAAUAAUUUGAUGAGCAACACUGGACUCAGUGAAGCAACUCUUUGCGUCUGCUAAUACGGUGUCCUCAAAUUGACACUCAAAAUUUUGAUGAAUUUUAGCCACCGGCAGAGUGAGGAAGGUCGCAAUGAGCGCCAACUAUGGCAACUUGGACAUUCAGACAAUGCUUUGGUGUCGAAGUCUUCGAAGAACGCAUGACGACAAUAUGAAGACGGUGAAGAAGGGGAUGGAGGUAAAGAGGAAGAGUAGAUUGAGUAAAACCAGCGCUCUUCAAAAGAAAAUGCCUAACUCAAAUGUAGAGGCUGCUAACUAUCCUCGAUCUGUUUUGCAAACUCGUUCUCAGGAGACUCCCUCGGCGUCACCUCGACUAUCAAGACCGAAGAGUGCUCAGGUCCAGCAAGCUAAGAAGUUACUGAAAAUAUUACGUCUAGAUCACAUGCUUUCUGAUGGCGACGAAGAGGAAGAAACAGAGAGGAUGAGCAAGAAGAAAGGGAUCAAAGAAAAGAAGAAGCGUUGUCCGUACAGGCUGAGGUCGACCUCGUCCAAAAUACCUCUAUCCAGGGAAGGUUCUCCCCGUCCAGUUGAGAGGAGUGUAUCUCCUUUGACAUCUUGGAGAAUGGAUGAUGCCGGUAUGCCAGAACCACUGCGGGAGAAGUUGAAUAUUUUUAAGAAAGAGCAUGAGACCAUGUCAAGUCAACAAACUUCGAAAGAACCAGUGCAGUUGAAUCAAGGUUCGGAAGAAGAAGAGAAUUAUAACGACACAUCUCAUGCUACGCAGUGGAAUCACAAACCUUUGCGAGGACAAGCGCGGGGGGAAUCUUGGCAAGCCGAUCACGUAGGUCUCAGUCUCAAAAAGGAGCCGCACAAUUUUGAACUAGAUAAGUUAAAGAAUAUAGUAGCAACAAUGCAGGAGGAGCACAGACAGUGUAUUCGCAGUAUCGCGGAGACCCUUGAACAUCACAGCCGGCAGAUUGUUCUCUUGACGAAGGCAAACUCUUCCCUGUCGAACCACGCGGAUUCCUUAGAGAAAGAGCUCAUGGUGUUGCGAGCUAUGCAGUAUGUCCCAUGAAGUUGUUUUAUUUUGGAUGCGGUGGCUGCAGAAUGCACGAGGUCGGGUAGAAAAUGCGUGCAUCUACGUUGCCUCCUUCAAAGUCUUCUCAAUUUUGCCUUCGAAAUUGUCUGCCUCUAGUAACUUGGUAGGAUAAACUCUGCCGUCUCAAAUCUCUUCUAUGAAAACCCUCAGGGGUUUGAUGUUGCAAGUAAUAAAAUCUGAAGUGCUUUAAGCCGCAUCGACUCUACUGAAUGUCGUUUGAAGUCAUUUGAAAGGAACGUCUGGAGUUUAGGUCAUGAGAUUUGCCCAUGAAAACUGUUUCAUACAGCAUAAAAUCCGAAAGUCUCUUUAAUGCUGUAAAAUUGGCGGAUUUAAGAGUAGGAUGUAUCAAGACCACCUUGUUAAAUGCUCUCUUGUUCUGCCAUUUGUGCGCAGAAACGAAAGGCGGAGUUGGGCAUUAUCGAGGGAAUAGCGGUCUUGGCCGAAUAGACCUGGUAACUUCAACCCAUUAGCAACUGUGUUGAAAUAGAGCUUAUUUAUCAUACAAACCACUAAACAAGUCCAUUAGGAGUAAUCCCUCAUGUAGAGCUUGCAAGCUACCCCAUAUCCAGCAUCCAUGGUGCUCUACACACCACAUCACCUGGAGAUUGUUUUGUUGUGCAUUUCUGCCGUGCUGGACCUUCUCUAUUGUACAGACUAGCAAAAACUUGUGCAAUUGAGCUGAAAAAAAAUGCAAUUCAAAAUUGAGAUGCGUUUUUUGAUUGAUGGCCAACAUCUCUCAAGCAAGGAUAUUUUUAUUGUUUUUUAAAAAGAAUCAAGCGUUGAACUAUGAAUGCAACAUUUUUGGAUUUCAGCAUGGCUUUAACGAAUUUUUUACUAAAACUCUGUGCUACAUCUAAAAGAGUUGUCUACGCUUCUGAAUUCUACAAUUUAGAGAUGCAUUGCGUGACACACGAUUCCAGCAAUGAUGAUAAUCAUAAUAAUAAUAAUAAUAAUAAUGACAAUGUACCGUGAACCAUAACAAAUGAAUGUCACAAUAACAAUCUUAGGUUUUGUCUUACCCAUAAAUCCAAUAAUUAGAUGGCCAAGCACCAUAUCAUUUCUCUCCAGCUUUCUUGUAGCGGUUUCAACCAAAUAACUUAUUUAUACACUAACCGCUGCGAAGGCAUUCUAUCCCUUCUAAGUUUCAGUCAUGCUUUAGAGACAUCUUUUGCUUUAAAGAUUUCUCCAACAAACUCUAUGUGAAUGCUACAUAAACAUGAUACAAACUUUCUACAAACUUGUGGUCAACAAUAAAAUGUAUUUAAUUCUUUUCCUUUCUCUUCAUGUGUUCUUUAAUUAUUUUAACUCCUCAUCUUUUUCAGAGACUAAACCUUCCUUCCUUUUAAAAGAGACACUCAUUCAAUACAUUUAUGGGUUUUUUUUUUUAAUCAUUUAAAAUAUAGGAAGGUGAAAGUAACUCUCCAUUGCAAUGUAUUGAGCCCAUAAUGUAUGCACUAUCUUAACCACUUCAACACCUACAUCCGAACCACAUCAGAAUCUCCCUUGAUGCACCUCAAUUGAGUUCCGCACAUCUGAAAACUUUUCUAACAUUGUUGACCUCAGACCGUAAUCCGAACAGCCCCUGCCGUUGCUUUUUGUCCCAUCUGCUGGCGGAUUCUUUAACUGAAUGUCGGACUGGAGACAAGGUUGCAGGCGAGAAACAGUGAACUCCUCGACCUGAGGUUGGACGAUCUUGGUGAUGAGCGGCAAGCAACAAAGGAAGAUCGAAGAAAACAAAGGCUCUCGCCUCCCUCGAAUGUGAGAGCAAGAGUGAGUGGCAAAAUAACUCCAGCUUGAGAAGCCGCCCAGUGCUGUAUCCGAGAAGUAGCUACGCGGCGCUCUGGAGUUGUGGCUUGCUGCUUCACAAGCGCAGCGUGGUAGGGUCACAAAGGGAGCGGGGCCAAGGUUCGAGAAAGCCUUAGCCAAGCAAGCAACAUGGCAGCAGCCGAUAGCACAACUUUUGAGGAACACUGCACCGUCAUCACCGAGCAGAAAAGGGCAAAGGUCGAUGUGCUCAAUCGCCUCUGCAAGGGGGGAGUUUCUGGAUCGAACUUAUCGGCGUCAAAGGAACCCCGCCGAAGCUUCCUCCAACACUGAAUGGGGAGUCAGGUGGCGUUUUAUCCUUCGCGCCAAAACAUUCCAGGUGGCGUUCCAUAGCAAGCAUCUUAAAAUUUGUGCAAAUACAUGCAAGAAUUAAAAUAUUUCAAAAAAAUUAAAAUUAAAAUCAUAAAAAUAUCAUGGAAUUAGUGCGAAAUUAGUAAUUACUGCAGUGAAAAAUAGAGGUUGAGAUGUUGUUCAUGAAAUUUUACAAUUUUAAAUGUUUGAUGCACAAAAUAUUAAAAAUAAACAGUUUCACUUAAUCACUGUUAGACUUCCGUGGAAAAAAUAUAAACGAAGCAGAAGAAACCCAUAUAAUCUGAGAUUUACAUCAAAAUACAUCACUUAUGUUGUUUAUUUAUUUGUCUAGAACAGUAAAGUUCGAAGGGAGUUCCAGUGCACUUUGUUUACUCAGCACAAGUGAGAAUAGACGGACCCACGUGGAAUCUUAUCCCAGUCCAUCCAUAUCUCUGGAAGCGUUCUAUAAAGCCUACGCGGAGCUGGCCGUCCUACGUGGACUUAGGGAUUUGUAAGGUUUAUUCAUCCAUACAAUAUCCAACAGUUAUCUAGAUGAUAUGUUUGUGCAUCAAAGGUGCUUUCCUUUCAUCUACCGUACAAAUCCACGUGCACACAAUCGUGUUCAUCGCCCUUCUCCCCACGCCAGCUCAGCCAGGCCCUUCAGUUCCAAUGCUGUUCAAACUGAACCGUUAUUCAUCCAUUUGCUUGCAAGUAGGGCAUUAUCAUUCAUCCGUUAUAACGAACGUCCUUUGGCACCGUAGUAUAAUGCUCCGCUUUAGUUCGAUUUUUCUCCGAAGAACAGGCUUUGUUACAUUUUUGCGGGAUUUCCUAAGAGUACACCUUUGCCUACAUUUUGUAAUAGCUAUCCUCUUUGCAUACUCUUGGUUGUAACCGUUGCUACUGUAAAAAAUCUCGAGGGUUGCAGUUCUUUUGGUAUUGUUUUGUCUGGGAACGUGAAUCUUUUGUCCAAUCGUGAGGUCUCCGUCUGGAGUAGCUUUGAAGAUUAUGAUAUUAGGCGUGUAAAGGAAUCAAACCAUAAGGGCAACAAAUCCGUUGGCAUUAUAGUUUCAGUUGGAAGUGAUCGAGGUAGUUUGAAGUCCGAGGGUGGUUUCUAUUUGGAGUUGUGUCCUGUGAAACGAUUUUCUAGCGCUUUCUAAAAAUGUUUCGAAUAGUGCAAACGUUUGUAGUGGUAACUGCUUAAAUUGAGUGUUCGGAGCUUGGAAAUUGGAUCUGUUUUGCGGGAUAGUUCAGUGGUUCAAGCAUUUUUGCAAAAUGAGUUACAGAAAUUUCGAGAAGACCAUGACUGUGGACGAUGGACUCAUACCAGCUCUCCCAGACGACGUCGCUAUGCAGUGCCUGCUGCGCGUGCAGCCCCAGUCGCACGCGCAAUUGCAGCAAGUCUCCAGAAGAUGGAAUGAGCUCGUCAACAGCCCGUGGUAUUAUCAAGAGCGCAAACGCAGUGGCACAAGCGAGAAGCUCUUGUGCAUUAUGCAAGUCGUGGAGCCCCUCUCUGCACCGUCGUUGGCAGCAAAAACCCCUGGCUCUUCCUCGUCUACGAAGCACUCGCCCAUGUUCGGGAUUAACGUUUUGAACGUGCAGCAACGGACGUGGGAGCGUCUCUCUCCUAUUCCCGAUUUUCCCGAAGGCCUCCCGAUUGUCGGCCGGUAAGACUUUGUUCCUCAGCGCCAGCUAGAUCGUGAUCUCCUAUGUCAUCUUUCAUGGUUUUCAUUAGUGCAGUCCCUUCGUCCCGGUCGUCCUAAGGUCUUGUUCUUUCAGUAAAUUUAGCUUUUGGCAGCUCGUCUAGCAGUGUCCUUUGUCUCUCAUUCCCUUGCGUUUGAGUAUGUUACGACAUGAUCAUUUAAUAAAAAAAAAAAACAAAAAAAAAGUCUCUAGCCAGCCUUCAAUCUCUUUUCUUUUCUUUUCUUUUUUCUUCUUUCUAUUCUUUUUUGUUUGGUCCUUGAAACUCUGACUUCAAUUUCAGUCUACCUCAGGGAGCUGUGCCACAGAAUUGAAUGGUUUUUGAAUUCGAAGUUUACUAUUACUGAUUGGCUAAUUUUCAGCUGAACAGGAACUAAACGUCUACUGUGUGGGUUAUUGCAGAAUGGUCGCUGUGGGCGGAAAGCUGAUUGUUCUUGGCGGAUGGAAUCCCUCUACGUAUGAGACUCUACAAUCAGUGUACAUCUACAACUUUGUUACUCAAACCUGGUCUAGGAAAGCUCCUAUGCCAACGAGUCGUUCAUUCUUUGCAUGCUCAGUUGUGGAGAACUACGUUUUCGUCGCAGGAGGACACGAUAAUGAUAAAGUCGCACUGAAAUCAGCUGAAGUUUACAAUGUUGAGACUGACCAAUGGGCUCCCCUCGCGUCAAUGCACGAGGAGCGAGACGAAUCAACAGGUAUAUGCCUCGAUGGGCAAUUCUACGUUGUCAGUGGCUAUUCUUCAACCAGCCAGGGCCAAUUCUCCCAGAGUGCCGAAGUCUACAAUCCAUCAGCGAACGCAUGGACGUUGCUUGAAGGCUUCUGGUCUAUGGAGAUGCAAACUUCGCGUCCAGCUGGUCCCUUCGCAGUCAUGUAUGGGAGAUUGUACACUUUAAAUGGGAAAAAUCUCCACAGGUAUGAUGUCACAACUGCAUCCUGGUCAGUUGUGGAAUCAAUUCCAGACAGUGAAGUAAACCCUAUUUGUGUAGCUGCUUUAGACGAGGCGCUCUUCAUCACAGGGCCAUCUCACAGCAGCGAAGAGCUUGGUCAUGGCACAUUUUUGUACAAGCCAGCUGACAGAAGCGUAACAAAGAGGUGUACGAGUGAAUGGGGGAGCCUCACCAGACCAGCUGGUUUAGUUGGUGCGGCUCAGUUCGCACAUGUCAUCGAGAUUUAAGCAAACCGACGAUUAAAUUAUCCACGUCCUCAGAAGCAUCCUGCUGCCCUGAAUGUCAAAGACUGAGCCAAUUGCACUCGACGUCCCACCUCCGCUACUUUUUCCAGUAUUGAGCUCACCAUACGGCUGCUCCGUUGCAAAUAGCGAGCAUCAACACUCCCCACAACCACCAGGCUGGAACCAAUGAUUCGAGUAAUGAGAAAUGGUGUGCUGGAUCAAGUUGAGGAAUCUACCAUAUUCACUACAAAUCAUGCGAACACAUUGUGGCAGCCGAAUUGUACAGAGUACUUUUGCCAGAGGUUGUGGUUUAAUCGGAGUACAGUUAGCGGUCGAAACAAUUUCGUAGAUACAUUACUGACAUGAUUGUAAAGAAACCAAAUUGUGACUUAAACCGUCUUUUAGAAAAUCUAUCAAGUAUUUUCUCAGCUAUUGUAACCCCUAACGAGUCAUAGAAAAUGAUACGAAUGUAUUUGUGAAUCUGAGGGGAGAUCUAGAACUCUUUAACAGUCCAUAUUAAUCUCAUGUCGUCAUUUAUCAUCCUGUAAAAGUUGUUCUCAAAAGCGUAUAUGAGAUUAGCAACAAUUCGUUCCAUCCAUGGUACAACUAAGCAUAGAGCAGGCAUGUCCAUAUCCAUCAUCGAGAGCAAAAAAGAAGUAGCUCUCGGGACAUUAAGUUAAUAUAACUGCAACUCUCGUAUUCUUAUUGUUCCCAAGGACCUGUUGCCUUCCCAAUACUGACAUAAUUCAAUAAUUAAAACGUAUCUGCAGAGCCGACUACUUUAAGAACAGAACGUGCUUUUCUCCAACUGACAACUACUUGCGGAAUUGGGCUCAAGCCAAGAACUAAAUCUAGAUAGACGGUGACCAACCCUCUCAUAUCGCAAGUUUCGAUAAUGGGCAAUUGGAAACUGCAUACAAUCCAGAGAUUCAUACCUGAGUUAAGAUAUGGUAGAAUCGCAUGCAAUGAAUGGGACUGUAGAUUAUUCGAAACAAUAGGAAUGGACAGCGAGAUGAUGACCAUGCGCAUGAUCAUGAAUCCAUGACCAGCGAGAUGAUGACCAUGACCAAUCCAGAGAUGGACGCAUUCUAUGCAAAUCUGACUGUAAGAGACUGUUGUGUUGGAUCUCUAACUCCAACGUCAAAUAGGAACAUAAAACAUCCGAUGGAAUAAUGGUCAUAGAUGUUAUCUAUCUUGUUCUAAUCGUAGAAUUUGAGAAACUAUCUCCUGCAAUUCCGCCCGCAAGUUCUGUAAAAAAUGCGGAUCUUUCACCAAGCUGUCUUUGAAUUUUUCGUGAUCAGUUACAGCUUUUUUGUAAGCUGCCUCAAAUUUCUGCAGGGAAAUAACGAUCGAUUUUAUCAGGAUCCUUUCAGCUUCAUGUUAAGUACAUCGAUGACAAAAUGCUUGGCUGAAACAGCUGAAUUCCUUGCGUCAAAAAAGCUUAGUAGUAAUACUACUACAAAAGUAUCAGAGGAAGAGCACACCUUCUUCGCAUUCUUUGGCAGCUCUUUCCCGCCCUUGUCAUGAGUGGGUACACCACGCUCAUCAAAAGCAAAGUCUUUGUACUCGUCUUUGGUCUUGAAGAUUUCUUGUGGUGAAGUGGAAGAUGCUUCAUGCUUUUCAAGCAAAUUCGCCUGUCAAAUAAACAAAGGUGAAUAGAGCAGAAAGGUAUACAGAAAAAAUAGACGUUUUCGUGAAUAGCCACUUUUAAAAGCUGCCAAAACAAGAACGAUGAUUGCCAAGAGUCUUAAAUAUUAAUACAUACGAUGAACCGCGUAGGAAAACGACCUAAACAUGAAUUUGUAAAAGCACCAGACUUGAAUACUUGGAAGAUUUUGUUUUCCAACUGCCGAAUAAUUGAUAAGAGAACAUAUUGAAAAAGACCUUCUGCAGCCUUUUCUGUCGAAGGACACGCAAUUUCUCCUCCUUCACCUUCAGUCUUCGUUCAUCACGCUCUCUUUGUAACACCUGUGGGUCGUCUAAUCUCCAAGUAGAUGUGUUGCCCUCAUCCACAACACAUACUCCGGCAUCAACCAUGUCUUCAUCCCGGACUUUAUCGGUUAGCUCCAUCAAUUUUGCCUGGUGACAACAAACCAAAUUGUCUGUCUUUCUGAAAAGCACCAAUCUAAACUGCAUUCCGCUGUCCCCAUGAAAUAGAAAGUUCCAAGACCAGUAAUUACGCUACAUUUCAUAGUGCACCUCAACAUUGAAAAUUCUUAGCUAGACUCCUCUUUCCUUCAUUUUCUGCUCGAUUAUAUUAUCUCCAGCCGUCGUGUAAGGGUCAGUAAUCUCAAUCCAUUAAAAGAUGCUAAGGAACAUCAAAUUAUACUCCAGGGUAAAAAGAUAGUACCUGAGAAGCAUUACUUUUGACAGCAGAUCUCACACUGUCACGAAGUGACACCCAUCCAUCCACAUAUGGAGCCUGAACAUCCACCAAAUCAAAAUCUACUUAUACAAAUGAUUUUACUCAAGAACAAGAUACGAAAAGAGUUUACUAACUUUUGGUGUCAAAGUGGCAUGUUUCCACUUGGUCUUAGAGAGAAUCUCAUAUACAUACCACAACAGUUGUAAGAUUGCCAGUUGAGCCAGAUUGGCUUGUAGUACUGCCGAAGCCAAUCUCGUCGUUCUUCGCAUCCGACAAACCUGCCAACACCAGUUCAAUGGUCAGUCAAGCAAAUAAAUAUACCUGUUCAACUUAAAGCAAGCCUCUGUUCCGUGCUCUCAAAUAGUAAGAUUUCAUAAUAGAAAGUGAUACAGAAAAGAUGCACCAACACAUUUAGCACGGAAGAAACAUCACAAUUAUGACCAACCACACGAAGGACCUUGACCAAAUUUUAGUAUCCGAUUCCAAUUUUUCGGUUCCAUCCUUGUCCAACUUCCAAAAAUGUUAACACAUUGAAACCAUGAAUUUCAGUCAAUGAGAAAUGGAAAAUUUACCAAACACAACAAGAAUUUUCGUCACAAAAAUCGCAGCUUUUUUCAACAGCGAAGGCUGCGGUUUUCCAUUUGCCUGCAGCGAGAAAAUUAGAGCAAAAACAAUCCUAAAUUGCUCUUAACUCACACCUUUCACAAUUUAAAAUAACAGAAUGAAAGCAUAAGAGAAUUUGCGUAAAAGCAUAUGUACAGCAAAAGUGGAAAUGACGCCACAACUAUAUGUAGAAGCAUCAGAAGAAAACUCCCUCAAGGAACCAAUCUGACUUACCGACUUGCACUUGUCAAUGUAGGAGUGCACAUCUCUGACUAAGGUAAGCAAUUCUGUAACAGCACCCGCGGUAUCAAAGUUGUCUUCUAGACGUUCCCGCACCUGUGACGGAGUAAAAUACUUAGAACAAUGCAAAUAGCAUGCUGAAUAUAUAUAUAUAUAUAUAUAUAUGUGUGUGUGUGUGUGUGUGUGUGUGUGUGUGCAAACUACAAGAUAAUGAAUUACCACUUCGGGAUCAGAUGAUAAUAGCUUCAGACGGAAAAACAUUGGACAUUCAAUAGCAUAGAACACCGCGAGAGUUGAAAGAAUAAACCUACCAUGAUUUGUGCUUGGUCCACCCUGCUGAACAAUUGCUUCUCAUCAUCUCCUGGCCUUUGAAUUCCCGCCAUUGGCUGCCGCAUAAAUGCUAGAUGGUGUGAGAACUUCGUUUAUCAUUUAACAAUAGAACAGUGGCAAUAUUGGAUGACUAUUCCAAACCAGCGAUCAAUUGCUUAUUUAACAGAAACUAAAUAUCAGUAUUACUUCAUUACACUUACCAGCGCAUGCCACAAUAAGUAGCCUACUACAUAGAAACAAAGAGAUUCAGUCACCAGAGUCUUUCUAGAAAGACUAAGCAGAAAAUCAAGUUCUGCAGAACCAGGAAGUGCACGUACAUGCUGCCUCAAAUAAGAUUCCACAUUAGCGAAGAAAUUUUUGAACUGUUUCUCUUUUUGUAGAGCCUCGUUCACAACAGUUGUACUGAAAUUUAUCGACUGCAGAAAGAAAAUAAGAAGAAGAUCAGAAUAUGUCUAACUGCAACUUGGUAACUCCUUGGAUUAGUUGAAUAUUGCACACUUCAGAAUCACAUGGUGCAAACUUUACGUAAUUCAUAGGUACAUAUCUUAGUUGAAAGAUAUAAUACACAAAUUCCGCAGUGAUGAAUACCUUGUCCCAACUUUGAAUAACAAAAAGCAUACGUAGCUGUCUUGCUGUAUAUUUUGUCAGUGCCUGGUCCCAAAAACAUCACAUUCUCGAAUUAAGUCAACCGUAACUCUCUGAGAGGGACAUCACUUCAUCACACACAAAUGUGCACAGGCAGGCAAUGAAAAAGUCGAUGUCGUUCAACUCCAGUAGAGAUACCAGGUCAAAACAACUAAGAACACGAAAGAAGUCCUUACCUCCUUAAUCGUUAUGAAGUUCUUCAAAGACUUCGACAUCUUUAACCCAUCAAUAGACAGAUGUCCAGAGUGAAAAAAGUAUCUGACCCACUGCACUCAUGACAGCCAGACAUUCACAUAUGCAACAUUGUGCAAAAAUUGCAAAUCCUCUCACUAGUUACUCCAAGCGAAGGCUACACGGCCCAGAAACCUAGAUCAUUCCAUUGUACACUGAGGCGAGUGGAAAUACAUCAUAUAACACUGAAAGGAGUGAUUUCUUUAAAGUUAUAAGAAAACGAGGUUAAUAUCAUAUCUUCAUCAGAUGUAAUACCAUCAUUUAGUUAACGAGAUUCAUUGCGGAGAAGGUGAUUUCAAUAAAUGCACAUUUGGAAAGAACACAUAAUAGUAGAAGAGGGAGAGCAUAUACUUCAUGACAGUGGAAGUACGCCUCAGAUUGAGCCAGCUCGUUGUCAUGGUGUGGGAACUGCAAAUCACUACAAAGUCAAAGCAAAGUUAAGGUUCAAUAUCUGCUGGCCAGAUGAUGCCAAGUGACCAAUAAACUUUACUCAUAAAAUCAAUGAUAAGAUUGCAAAUGAAAAGGGUGGAACUAUCCGACAACAAAUAUGUGUUGUGGAAGUAAAACUGAAAAUAGAUUGAAAAACGAAAAAGUCAUUUGCAGCUUAGAUGUAAGAAAAAAAAAGGUCAGAUAUAAGUCACUCACUGUCCUCCAGAAUGAAUGUCCAUGUUAUCACCCAGUAUAUCACUGGCCAUUGCAGAACACUCGAUGUGCCAACCUGGGCGUCCCAAACCCCAAGGGGAUUCCCAUGCAGGUUCUCCAGGCUUACUUUUCUGCAACAUUCAUACGGUACAAUAUUGAGAAAUCGCCGCAUACGAAAGCUAAGAAUUCAUGUGGAACACCAUUAAAUGUGUUUUAUUAAUAUAUAACAAAGUGUUCUACUCUUUUCUUUCCAAUAUCUGAUUUCUCCGGAACAGACAUCAAAUUUGAGAAAAAAUGAUUCGUAAAAUAGACCCACCUUCCACAAUGCAAAAUCGCAGCUGGUUCUUUUUUCAGAAGUCUCAAAAUUUGACUCACUCUCAGAGGCCAGCAAUGAGCUGCCGACAGCAGCUGGGUUCAACUUUCCAUACUGGUGGCCUGCCUCUCUGCAAUGAGAAGGAGAGAUUUAAUGUUCUCCUCUUUCUGUUCUUUUCUUUUCUUUUCUUUUUUUACUCGCCUAUGUUCUGAACUUUAUAAUCCAUACAUAGAGAUUUCCACAAACCGUCGCAAAAUAACGGUAUCAACAUGCAAUCUCAAAUGAAAAAUCUAUCGGCAGAUCAAACUUGUUCUCGAUACCUAGCACUUCUUCCCCCAGACCGUCUAGUAAUCACUGUGCGGAAGCUCUAGAAAAUUUAUGAGAAGUAGAAUGACACACCUGAACGCUUUGGUGUCAAAAUAAACACUCCCAUUAGCCACAUAAGCAAAUUUAUUUGCCAAAACGACUUCCACGUAUUCAAUAAUUUUAUCCAUAUACCUGCCACAGAUAGUGACCACGCCAUUCCUCUACAGUCAGAUACCACUGCAUUCCAUUGUCGCAAGCAAAUUGUUUACUUGUAUCUUCAGGUCCUAAUGUACUUUCGCAAAUUCAAGACUUGACGUCCUCUAAGAAGAAAAAGGAAAGGGAUAGAUCUAACUAUUCAUACAAAGACGUUAAACUCCGGAUUAACAUGGAGAAGUGUUACCUCUACAAAUCUUCACACAAUGCAAAAGACAGAUUCCUGAAUCAACUUCUAAAAAUGUUCUGUUGUGAAUAUCUACCCCAUGACAAAUACAAAUACCACAGACUAGACUCAAACAAUUGGGUCUGAUGAUACUUACUCAGUCACUCUCACAAGUACAUCGGGAUAGCCGCACCCCAAGGCUGUCAUAUCAUCCCAAAACUCGUUUUCAUACCUAAAUUCAUACACAAAUGAACAAUACUUGUCAAUUAGCGAACCGGACAUCUAACUUCCAGAAAAUCUCUUCCUAAGGAUUCGUUUGUUGUGGGAAAAGAACUUAAGUGAAAAAAAAAAAGGGGGGGGGGCAAUACAUUCCAAAUAUAACGACUGGAGGGGCACACAACAAUAGAAAGAGGGUCGCGUCCCUUAUUCUUUUAAAGUCAAGCUUUUAAAAGAUUAAAUUAAACUAAGCUCAUGAGUGCAGUACUUGAGAGUGUGACUCUUGUAAAUAGCGUGAUCUGUUACUGUUGCCCCAAGCCUAGCAUCCAAUUGAGAUGCCAAACUAUCAGCCGCACUCCCUCCCAGGAGCAUGUUAAUUCCCUCCUUUCCUCCUAACUUCCUAGCUUCUUCUUUUUGACCUUGUAGCAAAUCCCUUGCCUCGUUGAUCUUAGUGACUUUUAACUGCUCCUGCUUCACUCUCUGUAAGAUCCAAACGCAAUGAUUUCAUGUCUCACGCAACUAGAACUAAAAAGAACUGAUUUGCAAGAAUGCCAGUGCUUAGAAGAUAAAUCUCAACGUUGCUGCAUUAAGGAAUACAAGUCCAAGCCACUCACAUCUGCCAAGUCGUCUUUUUGUCUCGACGAGGUGGCUUUCUCCAGCCCUCCUUCUGUAUCUGAUAUCUGCGACAAGUUCAAUGCAGAAGAAAGAAGAAUUAGCAAAAUCACAAUGCCAAGAGAUGUUUUACUCUAUUUAAAGCAACCUCGCAAUCCAAUCGAAAAUUGCUCCACAAAAGUAAAGAAACCUUUUUCUGUUGCUUGACCAGCUCUUCCUCCAUAGCACGUUCCAAGUCUUCAAUCACCUGGGUCCAAAUCAACCCCCGUCACAACCAUACUUGGGAAUAACCAAUACCAACACUCACACGACUAUUGAAAAGAGCAGUAAGCACAACGAGUGAUUCCCAGAAGAAAGAACGCACCUUAUUCAAAUCAAUUGCACCACUGCGAUAUUGGUCCAUGAGAUAAUUUCUCCUCGCGCGAUUGAUAAUUUUGUCAUCCACAUCGGUGACAUUCAUAACAUACUUCACAUUGUAGUGAAAAUAAUCCUGUACUUGCAAAGCACGUGAAUGCGUGAGCUUCUUCGCCACGACAACCCACCAUAAAACCCUUGAAACCACCACACCACUACACUGCGAGGCUCGAUCAUACCUCGAGUAUCCGUCGAAUGAUAUCAAAAGUCACAUAAUUUCUCGCGUGUCCGACAUGGGAUGAGUCGUACACAGUUGGCCCGCAGAUGUACCACGUCACUGCCACACAAAUCACACAACUCCAUCAGGGCUUCAAAACUUCAAAACCCUAAACCCUAAUUUCCUCACUAAGAACCUCAAACUCUCCAAAGCCAGAAGACACCCCCUCAAAC